UUUUUUUUUUUUUUUAAAGCAAUUUAUUGGGUUUUACAGUAAAAAUAAACAUAUUAAACAAUAUGACCUUUGUCUUAACAUAAUUUCACAUUUUCUUUGGACUUCCUCACAUCUCCCGCUCCCACUUUCAUCGUUAUAACAUUUUGUCAGCAAUUUAUCAUCUUAUUUAAAUUCUUAUAUCGCUUCUAUAUUUCAUAAUCUUAUAACUUUCAAAGGGAGUUAAAUUUUCACAGUCUUACUUAUUUUCAUAGAAAACUUCUAAAUUUAGUGGUGCUCAGUUAUUUUGGUCUAGCAUCUUAUUUAGCAUUCACUCAAAUUGCAAUAUUUUUGUAAAUAGUUCUUGAAUUUCUUCCAGUCCUCCUCAAUCCUUUCUUCUCCCAGGUCACGGAUUCUGCCGGUCAUUUCAGCCAGUUCCAUGUAGUCUAUCAGUUGCAUCUGCCAUUCUUCCAGUGUGGGUAGAUCUUGAGUUUUCCAAUGUUUUGCAAGAAGUAUCCUUGCUGCUGUUGUUGCAUACAUAAAAAUGUCUGAUCCUUCCUUGCCACCCCUUGGCCGACAAUACCCAAAAGGAAAGCCUCUGGUUUCUUAGUGAAGGUAUAUUUAAAUACCUUUUUCAAUUCGUUAUAAAUCAUCUCCCAGAACGCCUUCACUUUAGGGCAAGUCCACCAGAGGUGGAAGAACGUUCCCUCAGACUCUUUACAUUUCCAACACUUAUUAUCAGACAGGUGGUAAAUUUUUGCAAGUUUGACUGGGGUCAUAUACCAUCUAUAAAUCAUUUUCAUUACAUUUUCUUUCAGAGCGUUACAUGCAGUAAACUUCAAUCCAUUACUCCACAACCUUUCCCAGUCCUCAAACAUAAUAUUAUACCCGAUGUCCUGUGCCCACCUUAUCAUAGCCGAUUUAACCGUUUCAUCUUGUGUAUUCCAUUCCAACAGCAAGUUAUACAUCCUUGAAAGUACCUUAAUCUUUGGUUCUAACAAUUCUGUUUCUAGUUUCGAUUUCUCCACCUGGAACCCUAAUUUCUUAUCAUUUUUAAAAACUUCUUUAAUCUGAGCGUAAUGUAACCAAUCUCGCACUUUGUCUUUCAUUUUCUCCAAACUCUGCAAUUUCCAAUUGUCUCCAUCCUUUUCUAAUAUUUCCCAAUAUUUUGGCCAUUUAGCCUCCAUAUUGGGUCUUUUUCGAGCCUUAGCUUCCAAAGGUGAAAGCCACCUUGGUGUUUUGUUUUCCAGCAAGUCUUUAUAUUUUGUCCAGACAUUAAACAGUGAUUUUCUGACAAUAUGGUUCUUGAAGGCCUUAUUUGCUUUAACUUUGUCAUACCAUAAAUAUGCAUGCCAUCCAAAAACAUUGUUAAACCCUUCCAGAUCUAACACAUCAGUGUCUUCAAGAAGUAGCCAGUCUUUUAGCCAGCAGAACGCUGCGGCUUCGUAAUACAACUUUAAGUCUGGCAGGGCAAAGCCCCCUCUUUGUUUUGCAUCAGUUAAUAUCUUAAACUUAAUUCUGGGCUGUUUGCCCUGCCAGACAAACUUAGAAAUGUCUCUCUGCCACUUCUGAAAGCACUCCAUUUUGUCCAAAACCUGAAGUGUCUGAAAUAAAAACAACAUCCUUGGCAAUACAUUCAUCUUAAUAGCAGCAAUUCGGCCUAACAAAGAAAGUUUCAAUUUUGACCAACUAUCUAAGUCUCUUUUAAUUUCUGUCCAGCAUUUUUCAUAAUUGUCCUUAAAUAGACUUAGAUUUUUGCUGUUAUGUUUACCCCUAGGUAUUUUACUUUUUUAACCACAUUGAGUUCCGUCUCAUUCUGAAACCGUUCUGACUCUGUAUCAGUCAAAUUUUUCCCCAAAACCUUAGUUUUCUGUUUAUUUAAUUUAAAUCCAGCCACCCGACCAAAAUCAUUAAUCAAUUGUAAUACUCUUUUCGUACUGGGCUCUGGCUUCUGCAGGGUCAAAACCAGGUCAUCUGCAAAAGCUUUUAGUUUAUAUUGUUUCUGACCGACCUGAAUUCCUUCCACCAAUCGAUCCCCUCUAAUCAUGUUCAAUAGCACUUCCAGAACCGAAAUGAAUAACAAAGGGGAAAUAGGGCAACCUUGUCGUGUCCCUUUUUCAAUUUUGAACUCUUCUGUGACCACAUUAUUAACUAUCAGUUUAGCUUUCUGUUCUGAAUAUAUCGCCUCAAUCCCAUUCUCAAAACCCCGUCCCACUCCCAUCUCUUUUAAAUUUCCCAUCAUAAAUUUCCAGGAGAUAUUGUCAAAGGCCUUCUCCGCAUCUAUGAAAAUUAAAACUGCUUUUGUAUUUAUAUCUGUUUGCAGAAGUUCCAAAAUGUCAAUAAUGUUCCUUGUAUUAGCAAACAGAUGUCUACCUGGGAGAAAACCGGCCUGGUCCUUAUGAAUUACUUCACUUAAGACUUUUUUAAAUCUACUUGCCAAAAUAUCUGCAAAUAUUUUGUAAUCCACAUUUAAAAGGGAGAUGGGGCGGUAGUUCUUAAGUUGUGUCUUUUCAGCUUCCGACUUUGGUAUUAAUGUGAUAAACGCUUCCUUCCACGAAUCCGGUGCCCUCUUCCCCUCCAUAAUUUCAUUGCUGACCUCCAUCAAAGGUUGUAUCAAAUAGUCUUUUAAUGUCUUAUAAUACUUGGAGGUCAGCCCAUCUGGCCCUGGAGAUUUGCCAAGUUGCAUGUUCUGAAUGGCUUGUUCAAUCUCCUGUCGUGUUAUUUUAGAAUUCAGAAUUGUCCUAUUUUCUUGUGACAAUUUAGAUAGUCCAUUUUUGCCAAAAAUUGUUUAAUCUCCACUUCGUCUUGCGGCCCUUGGGUGUAUAAUUUUUUGAAAUAUCUCUGGAAACACUUUCUAAUAUCCACUGGAUUCUGAAUGUUUUUUCCAUCAACCUCUAAGUUUGUAACCGUGUUUAAUCUUUGUCUUCUCUUCAACUGCCAAGCUAGCAGUUUUCCACAUUUAUUCGCCGACUCAAACGUUUUUGUUUCAUUAAUUUAACCUUCCAUUCAAUUUCCUGAUUUAUCAAUUUAGAAUAUUGUGUUUGAUAAAGCUUAAUUUCUCUCAGAGUUGGCUGUGACUUUGGAUUCACUCUUAAUUUCUUUUCUAAUUCUUUUAUUUUGUCCAAGAUCUUAUCUUUUUUCUCAUUUUGUGUUCUUUUCUUUACUACAUUCUGUUGUAUCAAGAAUCCCCUCAUUACAGCUUUGCUUGCGUCCCAGACGAUUCUUUUUCCACCGAAUUGUUCAUGUUUAUCUCAAAAUAGUCCUUCAAAACUUUUUGGGCCUUCUUGGUAAUUUCCUGAUCUCUAAACAAAUUGUCAUUCAUCUUCCAUCUAAAGGAUCCAGUUGGUAGUAGUAUCAUAUCCAUCUUUACUGCAUUAUGGUCAGAGCAAGUCUUUGGGCAGAUUUCCACUUUUCUGACCUUAGGUGCCAGGCCUCUAGAAAUCCAUAUUUGGUCGAUUCUUGUCCAGGUCAGUUGGGCUUCAGAAAAGAAUGUUCCUUCUCUACCUAGUGGGUUCUUUGUCCUCCAAAUGUCAAUCAAAUCCAUAUUGUCAGUCAUUUCAAAAAGGUUUUAGGUAGUCUGCCGUCUUUUGUAACAUUUUGACUUUGUGACUUGUCCAUGUUAGUUGACACGACCCCGUUCAUAUCUCCCAUCAUUAUGAUGUUGUUGUAAUCCAGAUAGUCCAGCAUUGUCCCCUGCAUCUUCUUGUAAAAGUCAGAUUUCCCUUCAUUAGGUGCAUAGAUUCCUAAUAUCAACAGUUUCUCUCCUUGAUAUUGUAUCUCAAUGGCCAAAAUUCUUCCAUGUUCAUCUUUAAAUAAGAAUUUAGGUGACAGGCUCUCUUUUGCAUAUAUCACCACGCCUCUCUUCUUAACUUUGUCCGACGAAACAAAUUCCUGGCCCAAUCUUUUAUUUAUUAACACUUUUCUGUGGAGCCUCGUCACAUGUGUUUCUUGUAAACAGAUAAUGUCCAAUUGUUCUUUUUUAAUAUAUGAAAUAUUUUCUUCCUUUUUUCCGGAAUGUUACAACCAUUAAUGUUCCAACUCAGCAAUUGCAGAGACAUCCUGGAUCUAUCUGGUUAUUUCUCCAGGGGUGGUAUCUUCUCUGGAUCUUCAGGUUCCCCAGGUGCUGGUGUUAAUGCUGGCUUUGCCCCAGGCCCAGAAGGUAAUUCAAUUCCUUUUUGAAGGUCCUCUCCGUAUGUAGCCAAAAAUUUGUCUCUCUCUUCCAAUGUUCUAACUUUGACCUUUCUCCCUUUAAAGGUAAAAGAUAUUCCUUGGGGAAAUUCCCACCUGAAUGGAAUUGCGUUGCUCCUUAGUAGUUUAGCAAGUUCAGAAUAGGCGGCUCUAAGAUCCAGCAGUUGUCUUGGAAUAUCUUUAUAAAUUUCAAUUCUUCUGUCCAAAACCUCCAGUGACUUUCCGUAAUGUAGGCCCAAAAUCUUAUCCCUUUCCUCCUUUGAUCUCAAUGUAAUCAAACAGUCUCUGGGCCUCUCCUUCUUUGUGAAUCUUCCAAGUCUGAAAGCCGACACAAUUUUAAAAUCCUUUUCUUCCAAAUUCCAGAACUUGGAAAAUUCUUUAGUCAAAAACUCAGUUAAAUUUCCUUCUUCUGCCUCUUGUAAUGAUCUAAUCCUCAAAUUAUUCUCACGAUUUCGCAGUUCUAUCAUAGAAAGAUAAGUCUGAUGUUCCCCAACUUGUUUAGUGAGUGGUCUUACCUCUUGCUCUAAAUUUUCCAAUUUUUGUCUAGUAUCCUCAGCCAAUUUCCGAUUUUCUGCUGAGGCCUCCGUUAACUGUCCAAUUGCUUGUGUAUUCUGUACCACUUGUAUGGUUAAUUUAUUUAGACAUUCUGUAUUUUUGUCAAUCUUUGCUGAUUGCGCAUCUACUUUCUUGUCCAAAGCUUCCAAUUUUUCAAAGAUUUUGUCUAGAACAGAAACAGAUGCUCCUGAGGCCAUAUCUUCCAAUUGUAACUGCUCUGCUUCACCCUCUCCCUCUUUUGCCUGUGGCAAGGCAACUUCUUCAAGUUCUACUUCUGAGGGCAAAGUAGGUACAGAUGAUCUACGUGUCUGCGAGGCUGAGGUUAGAGUUGUUAAAGUUGUUUGUCUAACUCUCCCUCUUUUCCUUGUGCCACUCAUUCCAACGUUGUCUAUCAGUCAAGGUCACACUGAGUUUUUCCCAUGGGAAUAGAAAGGCCCAGAGCAGGCAAACAACAAGGGAAUCGAAAGUAAAUGUAGAUGUACAGUCACUGUUUUAAUCCAAUCCUCUAGAGGGAGCUUAAAAUGUCUUUCAGAGUCUAAUUUAAUAUCCAAGAACCUUCAGAUAUAAAUAUUUAGCAGAGUUUAUAAGUAGUCACUUUGUUACAGACAGUGCUUAUUUGUCUCCAAAAAGAAUGUUUCAAAUUUAAAAAGUCUCAGUACCCUCAGAUUGUUGCAAGUUCCAAUAUACAGUAUCCAAGUCUGCAAUACUGACAGCUCAAUCUCUCAAUGCUCAGGCAGCUCCUGACUCUGGGUUUCACCUUCUAAUUUGUAAUCCAAUAAAAGGAGGAAAGUCAAGUGCAAGUUAAAAUUCCGAAUCUUUAGCUUAAAGUCUUUACUUUAAAUUGCAAGUUCAAUAGAUGCUUAGAUCUGUAAAGUUUAAAAUCUCUUUCUUUCAGCCUCCACUCCUCCAACUUAGUUGCUUUUCAAGUUCAAUGGCUGCGGAAGACGGACUUCCUGUUUCCACGUCUCUCCGCUUUCAGCCAAGUUCAAGCCAAUUUAAGAUUUUUCAUUUAAAGUCUCUAAUUUCAAGUGAUUCAGUCUUUACUCACGAGUAAGUUGCUUUUCGUCCGAAUCCGUAUUUUAACAGGAAAAAGGAUCAGCGCUCACCGGCAGCAGCAGCGCGGCUUCACUCCGCAGACUGUGAAGCAGCUCUCAGCGCCGCAACCCCCCUCCACGCUCCGGAGCCCCUUACGAGGUUCCUUUCACGUUUGGAGGGUCACUUAAGGCGCCCACCGAGCCUCAAGACCCCAAGCUCUUGCUGCUUGGGGUUUUCCGGAUUGGGUCUCCGCUUCGCCGUAGCGGACGACCCGUUAUCUGCGGAGCCUCCUCUCCCGUUCAGAAGAGGACCGCCAUUGCCGUUCGCGCCGCCCCUCGGAAGUCCAAAGGUUGGGUUCUUAACCCAAAGGCUGUUCUUCCUCAGAGCCAUUCAAAUGCUGUUCCAGUUCACUCCAGUGGGAGCUCAGAUUCUUGGUUCCUGAUCACUCAGCUCUGAGCCCUUGGGGACAUCCAAAAACUAGCCAGUUUGGCUUCUGAUGUGAUGUUGUUUCCAGGCCAACACAGUUCACAGAAGCCACUUUUUGAACCGAGCCAAAUCUCUGACCCUUUUGAAGCCUGCCUGCUGCUCAUCUUUACAGCUCACUGCUCCAAUCAAAAGGGAGCAUAUGACAGCCAAGCAGACCCCUAAAAAAAGAAUGAAAGAAGAAAGGCUUAGAAAGACACCCUGCCGCUUUCCGUGUACUAAAUCUCUCCUAGCCCCUUUUCCUUCCUUCCUUUCUGUCUCUUUUAUAUAAUUUAUGGUGUAUAAAUAAAUUAUAUCUGAAUCAAUGUUGAGAUGCUGUUUUUCUCCCAGUUAUACAUUAGAGGGCCAUAUAUAAUAUUGUCUUUCGGUGAGUUACAGCUCAGAUGAGAUUUUAUCUCAGGAUUUUGUGGUUUAAAAAGGCCCUGAUGAUAAAGGAUGGAGAAAUGUGUGGUGGUGGAUGUUUUUUGCAAUGAAGCCCGACCUAAGAAAUGAUGGAUCGUUCGCUCCCCAUAUAGAACCCAACCCCAAGUUCUUCCUGUAAUCAGCAUGUUCUGUUGCAAUGAUGGGGGUUUUAGCAGUGGAGGGAGGGAGAGAUCGCAUCUCUGGCCCACUUGUCUAUCCCUCCUCUUGGCAUACCUUGGUGAAGCACAUCUGUUGCUUCAGCUGUUCUCAAAGCCUUUGGCAUCUCGCGGUCCUUAGCUUGGCAUUGCCAGGCUGAUUUGCAUCCCAGAUCCAUUCCAACUGAAAGACCAAGGCUGACUUGCACAUGUGGCUGCACUUAUUAGCAAGACUUGCUAACUAUCUUCGCCUCCAGCAGCUCCAUUGUACCUCCAACCCGAUAAUGCCACCCCGUUUCUGUUCCCUUGGCUUCUCCUCUGUGGAAGUGGGCUUCCAAAUUCAUUAGUUCUGCCGUAAUCCCUCUGUAAGGCUCUCAGCAGAAGCAUGUACUGGCAUCCACCCCUCAGCCAGUGUUCCCUUCCUGAAGGCCGACUGGCUUAGUGGGUCCAUUCAGAGGCUACACUGCCAACCAUCAUCGUACAAGAUAAAUAGGUGGCAAAGCAACAGGGGUAGGGUUGCUUUGUUUGAAAUAUGGCAACCCUAAGCAGGAGGAUUGACUGACACAUCUCCUUUGGGAGAAGAGCCACUGCAGUUGGAUCAUUAAUGUAGCACAGCAGCUGCAGACUAUAGGGAGCCUUGUUCCUGGUAUCCACAACUAGGUUGUCCAGAUGCCAGAGAGAAAAGCCCCCCCCCCGAACCGUUAAUGGUCAUGUCAAAGGGGGAAUUCCAGACUGGUGACAGGGAGCGGCUGGCGGGACCAUGUAACACCAGUCCUAAAGGAUCUAUGCUGGCUCCAAGUAUGCUUCCGAGCACAAUUCAUAGUGUUUGCGUUGACCUUUAAAGCCCUAAACAGCCUUGCCCCUGUAUACCCGAAGGAGCGUCCCCACCCCCAUCAUCCGGCCCAGACACAGGUCCAGCUCUGAGGGCCUUCUGGCAGUUCCCUCACUGCGAGAAGUGAGGUUCCAGGGAAGCAGGCAAAGGGCAUUCUUGGUAGUGGUGCCAGCCCUAUGGAACAGCCUCCCUUUUAGAAGACACCUGAAGGCAGCCCUGUAUAUCAAAAAAUUUAAUGUUUCUUUUACUGCGUGGUGUUUAAUUUGUUGGAAGCCACCCAGAGUGGCUGGGGCAACCCAGUCAGAUGCAUGGCUUAUCAUCAUCAUCAUCAUCAUCGAGGUGGGUGAAGCUGUACUGCUGCCUGGCUAUCAGCGAUGUGUCAAUAUUGGGUCCUUCCAUGCCACACUAUUGGUUCUUCUACAGCAAGUGUGCUGCACCUUUUUCAGUCCAAAGCCCACAUUGCCUCAUGGGCAACCUUCGGGAGGAGGACACAUGUCAGUUGCAGAUGGGGCAGAAGUAAAAGUGAGUGGAAUGUCAGGCAUGUGAUUUUCACCUUUGUACAGUAGGCUGCAAUCCAGCCAUGCAAGAGGUUUCUGCAUACACAUCUUUCCAUCUAGGCAAGCAAGAGGCACGGUCACAAUCCAAGGACACAGGCAAAAGCACUCAAAGCGAACACUUUUGCCUAAGUGAAAGGGUGUGGCCUGGGGAGGGCCUGGAGGGCUCUGUUUGGUCCUCAGGCCUGACGUUGCCCACCCUGUUCUAGAACAGCCUUUCUCAACCUGUGGGUCCCCAGAUGUUGUUGGACUACAACUCCCAUCAUCCCUGAGCUCUGGCCUUGCUAGCUAGGGGUGAUGGGAGUUGUUGUCCAACAACAUCUGGGGACCCACAGGUUGAGAAAGGCUGUUCUAGAGUAUCUUGUUGUGAACACCUCCUCUGGUUUUCAGCUGGAGAGGCAGCAAUGAGAAACACAAACACAAUCCAAUAUCCAAUGUAAUUCCCCCUCCGCUUCUUGCCCCCACUCCACAGCUCCCAGGACUGAAGGCAACACCCAAGAGCAACCACACACACACACACACACACACACACACACACACACACACAGCUGUAGCACAAUUGUUACAACCUGCCAUGGGCAUAGGUCAGUUUUUGCAUUUGGCUGCCAUUUGCAAGGUGACUAGGGGACAAAGAAGGCCCAUAGAUCUUCAUGCUCUGACAAAUGAUCUCACCCAACACAGGGUCCUGGUGUUGAGCUUUAAAGGCAGGUAAAUCUUUUGCUUUUUAAAAUCGAAACCUACAGAGCCCAUUAAUUGGUGUCUUACUUGCAGUGAACCAUCGGCUCUAAUUUGACACAUAUUUUAUGGAUUGCGCUACCCCCUCAGUUCAUAAAAAUGAUCUGACUUCUCUUCGCCUCACUGGCCAAAGCUACUUUCCAAAUGCCUGUCCAUACUCUCAAAUGAAAAAUGAUAGCCCUCAAAAGGUGAUGUGUCAGAUAGGUAUGAGACAAGCCCACACAUGCACAGCGUAGGGAACUGGUGGCUUAAAAUUAUAAAGAUAAGGAGAAUGAUGAACUCUCUCAUUACCUCAGUUUAUCACUCUGACAACUUAGGAGAGUAAAUAAAACAAACCAAUAGCAAAGGAGCAGUACAAAUUAAGCCACAGAUGGAAGCAAUAAGGUUCUGGGAAUUCACAGGAUAUUUAACCUAUGAGGCACUGCUGAUUUCACUGCCCUAUCCAUGUGCAACGGUGUCCUCCUCUUACUAUCGAAAACACAUCGCAUGAUGCGUUGUCUGAAAGAAGAAGAAGAAGAAGAGUUUGGAUUUGAUAUCCCGCCUUUCACUCCCUUUAAGGAGUCUCAAAGCGGCUAACAUUCUCCUUUCCCUUCCUCCCCCACAACAAACACUCUGUGAGGUGAGUGGGGCUGAGAGACUUCAGAGAAGUGUGACUGGCCCAAGGUCACCCAGCAGCUGCAUGUGGAGGAGCGGAGACGCGAACCCGGUUCCCCAGAUUACGAGACUACCGCUCUUAACCACUACACCACACUGGCUCUCAAUGGAAAAUCUGUCCAUUAACAGAAGAACAGGUGAAAUGCAAAAUUCCUCCAAGAUGGAAUUGUGUGGUGAAAUUGGUGGCGGGACAGCAGUGUCUGCCUUGCUUCUGUCUGUUCCAGAGAUAUCUGCUCUGUUCUGUAAUACUAGGCAUUCUGCAGGAACUGCAUGUUUUUUUGUGCAUGCAUUCUUUGCUCAGAGUAACAGUGUAGUACAUGUUGCACUAAAACUGCAAUCAAAGUAUGGAUGCAUGGUAAAGGUAAAGGGACCCCUGACCAUUAGGUCCAAUCGUGGCUGACUCUGGGGUUGCGGCGCUCAUCUCGCUUUAUUGGCUGAGGGAGCCGGCGUACAGCUUCCGGGUCAUGUGGCCAGCAUGACUAAGCUGCUUCUGGCAAACCAGAGCAGCACGCAGAAAUGCCAUUUACCUUCCCGCCAGAGUGGUACCUAUUUAUCUACUUGCACUUUGACGUGCUUUUGAACUGCUAGGUGGGCAGGAGCAGGGACCAACCAAUGGGAGCUCACCCCAUCAGGGGGAUGCGAACCACGACCUUCUGAUCGGCAAGUCCUAGGCUCUGUGAUUUAACCCACAGCGCCACCCGUGUGGCGGGUGACAGGCUAAAUGGAUUCCCACUCCCCGCAGACAUCCAUGGCUCUGUCCAGGAUAAAAAGGCUUCAGUGUGGAAUUCUGCUCAAGUGGUUCACUCUUCCCAAAUUCCAAGUCAUGUUCAAUUUUAUUUUCCAAAAAGCCUAUUUGACACAGUACUUUAAUGUCCACCAAUGAAUGGCACAUGCACAUUGUGGGGAAGAAGAGAUAUAGUGCUGGAGAAAAGAGAGACUUCAACUUUAUCUGUAAUGCAAGGCACGAAUGGUGGCCUUAAUACAGCAGCAAAUAUUUCACACCUUGAUCUUAUGGGAUUAUUCCAUUCACAGACUAAUAAUUCCCAGAGUUCCUUGGGAAGACAACUUGGUUUUUAAACCACUCUGUGAAUUGUAGCUCUGUGAGGGGGAAUAGAGAUCUCCUAACAACUUUCUCAGCAUCCUUAAGAAACUACAGUUCCCAGAAUACUCUUGGGGAAGCCAUGGGUGUUUAAAGUGCUUUGAUACUGCUUUAAAUGCACAGUGAUCUGAGUCCAUUGGUUUGAGUGUUGCCCUCUGGAACAACAAAAUACAAAUCUGAGCCAUUUUCUAUAUGAUAGCCCAUCAAAUAUUUAAGAGAGUUACCAUAUUGCCUCUUGAUUGCCUCUUCUCUUGGCUAAGCAUACCCAGCUCCUUCCUUCUUCCAUCAUCAGCCUUGGUCUCCAGCCCCGCUCACUAUUUGUGUCUUCCUCCUCUGGGCACGAUCCAGAGGCAAUACAUGGAAAAGUAACUCCACUGCACUAUGUCUUCUGUGAGCAAUCAUUGCUGGUCGCUGCAAUAUGUUUGCUUGCUCUCUCUCUUAGGAUGACUACUUAUGAACUGACAAAAAAGGGGGAAACGCAGCACCAAAAAUGAGAAAAGAAGAUACAAAUUUGUAUUAAAAACUUAAUAUGGUAAUUUAUAUGUAUAGAUGCAAAUUGAGAAAGAAUGCCUAUGGUUUAAACAGAACUACAAUGCAUCUCACCAUAGUGGGGGAAGAAUGUGACCGCGUUAACUGUGUGAUUGCUCAAUAUGCAGUCCAGGCCCUCACUGUAGAUGAGCCAUCUCAAAGCCCCUGCUUUCUCUUCCAAUGAUGACUUUAUCUUUUAACUGAACUUGGACUAGACAGCUCUUCACAUAGAGGAUGCCUUCAGGUAGAGGACUGCCCUCUGCAAAGCAGCAUGAAUGAUCACCCUUCCCUUUCUUUCUUUCUUUCUUUCUUUCUUUCUUUCUUUCUUUCUUUCUUUCUUUCUCUCUCCCUCCCUCCCUCCCUCUCUCGUGUGUGUGUGUGUGUGUGUGUGUGAGAGAGAGAGAGAGAGAGGGAGAAUUUCCUAUACUUAUUACUAUCUCUGCCACGAAAAUAUCUUUCCCCUCCUGUAGCAUUUAAUCUGAUCCCUUACAUUUCUCCUCCACAUAUUCCAGGGGAAGAGGUGCUAGCUAAAUCCUGAAUGCCAUUUUGUGACAAUUUAUGAACAAACAAGCUUCCCAUCAAACCAAUUCUCAGAAAUGUCACUCCAGGCUGUCUCUGAGCAGAGAUUAAACGAUGGAUUGUCAACCUCCCCCCCCCUUCCCUUUUUUCAUUUGAUGCUUUGAAUUUAACUAUUCCUCUCUCUUUCAUUAAAAAUGAACUAGGGAGGGGUGGAAAGUGGAAUAAGAUAGAAAAGCUUUUAUAUCUAAAAGUCAAGGUAAUUAUCUCUUACAUCCCAGCCCACCCUUCCAAGGUGCCAAAUGAAGCCAUCAUUAAAAUCUGUGUCCAUCUGCCGACUUUCACCACAUCUAAUUAGGUGAAGAAGCCAGUUAACAUAUCUAUAGGCAGCUUAAAUCACUCUUUCUCAUAGAUGUACUGUAUAUACUCCGCUCCCCUCCCCUGAAGUGUCUCGUGCACAGCCUAGAAGCUGCUAUCUCCUCCCUCGCUUUCUUCUCUCAGAUUCCUCAAGAAUGUAUAAGAAAAGAAAUCAGGAGAGGAACUUCUCUUUAUGACCAGCACAGCAAAGAAUCUUGGUGCAAGAUAUAUGCCGGUGGGGAAUAAAGAGCUGACGAUCCAAGGCUGUGUUAACAUUUUAAAUGGGCAGCAGGAGGGAUUGUGUGACCCGCAACACAAUGAUGUGAAGACACAGCGCAACAGGGGACAGCUCUAAGCUCCUCCAGCAGAUUUGGCUUUCCACAGUUUGAGAAGACCUUUUAAAAGUAGCUGAAAGUUAUAUUUGGAGUAUCAACUUCCUACAGAUACUUUGAAUGGCUUAUAAAACAUUCAUAACACCAUUGCUCAGGGUCACACAGCAACACUAACGUGCAGUAGCCUCAGGACACAUAAAAGAACAUCCCUGCUUUGGAGAGUGCAUAAGAAGAGGUUUGGUAUUGUUAUGAGUUUGUGGGUGCCUUGACUCCCCUAAAUUCCUGGUGCCAGGAAUUCCUGGGUCUAGUGGGUAUUAGAGUAAUGACACUGAAUUUAGCAGUGUCAAACUAGAGGCCAAACCAGUUUUCUGCGCUCAGGAAACCACUUGGGAGAAGAGCCAUUACGGAGAACAAAAGAAAGGUAAUGGGCAAUUAGUAAAGCAGAUACUUUGUGCCUGAUGGUGUAGGUGGGUGAACCCCUCCUUCCACUGAGAGAUAGUUAGCAGAGACAAAGCAGAGUUGGCUGGGAGUGGGCUAGAGAGAAGCAUCAGUCUGUUAAAUGUAGCAAGCUGCGCCAAGGGACAGAGAACCAUGUUUGAUUUAUUUUUGGAUCCAAGGCUGCCACAAUGGGGUGGGGGAAAUAGGGCCAUCUUGGAGUGUAAUGCACACACACACACACACACACACACACACACACAACCUGAGCUACAAUGGAAGGGUUCAAGGCAUUACACUCCAAGAUGGCACAGGGCACGGCAGAGACUGUGUGUGUGUGUAUAUAUAUAUAUAUAUGACACCACAGUCUCCGCCGCACCUCGUUUCUAAAGGAAACACAAACCCUGAUUAAAUGCCUAGACCUCAUGAAUCUUGCAACACUUGGAGAUUUGGGUGGUGUGCAACACUAUGUUGGCUGCUGACAUCACGGAAAUGUUCAUCCAUGUGAUCAGGGCAGUGUACAGAGGAAGUGAGCUGGCAUUCAGUCUUCAGGAAGGGUUUGUUCUGUAUUUGAUGGACCAUUUUGAUGGUUUGUCUCUUUUUGGUGAAAGGUCACAGGUCCCCUGAAGUCCGUAGCUUGCUUCUCUACUGCCUUAUGGUACUUCUUCCACUCGAAGCACUGUAAUGAUCAGGAAGAGUGGAUAGACAGAGCUGGAUGCAUGUAGACAUCUAUAAAAACACAGUGUCUAUAUAGUUCUUUGUUGUGGUUGGUAGGCUCGUGGUUAACACCACCCCAGUUUUAAUGGCCAUUUCAAAGUUCAUGCAGUUAUCAUUACAGCUAGAGGUGAGAGAGACCAGAGAAAAUAAGCCCUGCAUGGACACUGGGCUAAAAGAUAGCUUGGUUGAGAAUGUAUCCUGAGAGAAAUUAGAGGCCAUCAGAAGGAAAGAAGAACUCUGUGAUACAAUCCGAGAUCAGAUCAUGUUUGGGCCAUGCUUUAGAAACUGUCAUUGUUUCUGUCUCACUACUCAUGGGCAUAAUAGAGAAAUCUGUACCCAUCAGUCAAACAGAUCAAAGCUCCAUUCUCUUUUAAUGGCACAACUUCUGGGACACCCUGGCUCCAUCAAGACCAUACAAAAGAAGUAGUGGUGUGUAAUAAGGUAUUUCUUCAUAUCUUAAAAUCGCUUUAAAAUUCCAUCUGGUCAGAAUUAAGCAUACAUUCAACCCAAAUACAAUAUCCCCUCUACUACUUUUAGUUUAUUUAAUUUUGCCCUGCCUGGAAGGUAAAGAUAAUUUAUAGGUUGCAGCUGAGCUCAGUCUGGUGAGAAUCCAAGUCAGCCCUGGGAAUGUAAUAUUUUUCAAGCAAAUGGUUCAGGACCUUAAUAUUUGGGCAUAUGGUGAGUCAUUUCCAUCCCUGACCCUGUCCUGAAAAAGGUCAGUGGUGAGGAAAAGAGAUAUUCAGAGCAUUCCUUGAGUCAUCAUUUCUGCACACUAUUGCAGAUGACCUUAGAUAAUUGACAUACGGAUUAUGGUACCUCUUCCAUUGUGCGAGGUACAUUUCAGUGUGAAUUGUCUUAAUUGCCUUUCCUGUGGUUUUGGCAGUGCAUAGGCUGAUUCUUUCUUGGGGAGAAAAAUGGCACAUGGCAGCCACAGUUCAAUUGGCCUUGUUUCAGAAAAACACUUAAGCUGCACACACCUCCGUUAAGUGGAAUGGUCUGCUGAAUCAGGACCUACGUGUUAGUUUCUGCUUUCCUUCACUGUGCAGCUCUGCUUGUCACGAGACAGGUGUUUACAUUCCACAGUCUGUACUGUUGGAGUUUCUCACGGGAAAGGGAGACUGGAUGUGACGUACACUGGUUUCCUGUUUUUCACUGUGUGAUUCUCUCCGAGCUGUCGAGGAGAGAGGAUGCAUUCUUCUGCUCCGGCAGAGGCAAGAUGUCUUUCUGUAAUAUACCAGCUUUGAACUGUAAAUAAAGCAAUAUAGAGUAUGUAACACGUAUUCCUCAUCCUUCCGCUGGGCACGAGACUCUGCUUUAAAUCAACACGUGGUUAUGGGCCCAGAAGUCGAAUCGGAGUGCCGGCAAAGGAUCGGAAUGCAGAGGGACAGAUCGGAACGGAAUCUGCUCUGCGCGUAGAAGUGAUUGAUGAGGUAUGUGCUACUGCUCCGGGCAGCCUGCCAGCUUCAAGUUAAUGGCUUUAUGGCUGGACUUUGAACUUUUAAAGCCGGUUUUGCCGGGAAUAGGCAAAGGCUCCCAGGCACAAGUCACUAUGCUGGGGAAAUCGAAAGUAACUUUUAAGUGCGCUUUUGUAAUAAAGCAGCUGCAGCAGUGACGCAGCAAGAUUUAAAGCAGCAUAUGACGCUGAAGGCUAAUGCCAGAGUCAUGAUGGCCCUUCAGGAUGCUUGUGGGAUUCCUAAGCUCAACAAGAAAAAUUACAGCGACUGGGUUCAGUAUGCAGAGGCAAUUCUGCGGAAAGAGGGUUUGUUUGAGGUGAUUACAGAAACCCCCAGUUCCAGUUACAGAUGCAUGGAAAGCUAAGGAUUCCAAAGCAAGGGGAACUCUUACAUUGAUAGUAUCCCCAGAAGAGCUCUGUCUAUUGCGUGAUAAGACCUCAGCCAGAGAAAUUUGGGACGCUUUGAGAGAGGCUCACUUAAGGACAGAAGCUGGAUCCACUAUGUUUUACUUUAACAAGCUGCAUAAUAUGGCUCUUGCUGAAGGUGGAGAUGUGCGUUUACAUCUGAUGGAGAUGCAAAAUCUGAGACAUGAGCUGCAACAGAGAGGACUCAACUUUCCAGAGGCUGUGUAUUCUUUCAUGAUACUACAAUCUUUGGGUUCAGGUUGGGAGUCUGUUGCAACCCAGAUUGCUGUGCAACCAACUGCUCAGCUGACAGUGGACUUUGUUACUGCCGUGAUUUUAAAUGAAGCAGAUCGCCGGGGUGCUAGCUGCAUGGGCAAGGUGGAGUCUUCACAGACGUCAUCCCAUAGUGCAGUGGAACCACCAGAUGGCGCCAAAGCUUUGAAGGCAGUGAAAUGCUACUCGUGUGGACGUCUAGGCCAUAUGAAGAGGGAAUGCAGACAUCCCAGGGCCAAGACAGAGCAGCGCAGCGAAAGCUCAUCACGCGGAAAAGGCCGAGGCAAAGGCAAAGGUCCGGUGUCAAGGACAACGCAGCACAAGGCUAUGGUUUCACGCUUCACUCCAAAGGUUGCAGAGGUCCAGAAGACGUCUAGAUCUUUCUUCGUUGUUGAUUCAGCGGCCACCCACCACAUGUGCAACGAUAAGAGACUGUUUGUGUCUUUUACACCGCAGGAAGGUGCGAUUCACCAGGCGGAUGACCACACUAUUCCCAGUAAAGGCUACGGAACUGUUGUUCUUCACAGUUUGGACUUAUCGAUACAGAAUGUGCUUUACGUGCCAGACGCCAAACAUAAUCUGCUCAGCGUUGGACAGCUGAAUGAGCGGAACAUUGACGUUUCCUUCAAGAACAAGAAGUGCAUCAUCACAAAGAAAAAUGAUUAUGUAUUGCAUGCAGAAUAUGUUGAUCGUUUGUUUGUUUUGUAUUAUGAUGAUGUGGUGCAGGAUGACACUUGUUGCAUUGCAGGUUCUAACAAAAGUUUGCAUGCAGAAUGUAUUCACGAUUUUCAUCGAAAAUUUGGUCAUUUGCAUUUUGAGGCAGUAUCUAAAAUGCCUGCCUUGGUUGAAGGUAUGACUAUUAAACCCUGCAGGUACCACAUGAAGUGCAAAGCAUGCGCAGCAAACAAGGUGAAAAUGGCUGCGAAAGGUAAGGUGUCUAGUAGGAAAGCUACAGAACCAUACCAGGUUGUUCAUGCUGAUUUGGUUGGACCACUAGCGCCCUCUUUGGGUGGAAAUAGAUACUUCAUGGUUCUCAUUGAUGCAUUUUCUAGAUAUAUUUUUGUGUACAAUCUCAAGCAGAAAUCGGAGGCUUUUCCUAGGUUCAAGGAAUUCUGUGCUUGGUUGGAAAAUGUGCAUGGUAAGAAGAUAAAGACUCUUUUCAGUGAUCGCGGGGGAAUUCACUUCUCAGCAGUUUGAAGCUUUUCUGACUGAGAAAGGAAUUCAACACGAUUUGUCUAGUCCUCGCUCGCCAUGGCAGAAUGGACUUGCGGAACGGGCAAAUCAGACAUUGCUUCAAGGGUUAAAAACCUUGCUGCAUGAUGCCAAUCUUCCAGAGAGUUAUUGGGCCGAAUCUCUCUCGUGUUUUGUUUACAGUUACAAUCGCAGGUUAUCUUCAGCGAUUGGUUGUACCUCUAUGAGAAGAUGUUUGGCAAGAAGCCAUACAUCAAACACAUGAAGAUUUUUGGUUCUGACAUGUGGGUUCGCUCACCACAAAACUCCAAGUUAGACAAGCGUGGAUUGCAUGGUAUCUUUCUAGGUUAUCAGAAAGGGUCUUACAGAAUAAUGAUGACUGACUCUAAGACAAUUAAGCUCACGAGAAGUGUUGAGUACAAUGCAAAGUGGGGGAGAAUGUGGGAAUUUUCCAAUGUUAUCCUGAUGACGGUGAUGAGACUGAGGAUAGUCAAAAGCAACCACAACAGCCCACACCCACUGAUGAAGGUUCUGAGUCUGAAUCUGAAACUGAAUCGGGUGAUUCAGAGGAUUUCGAGAGUGCGAAAGCCUCUAUGCGACCCUCUGAAAGCUCUGAUCAAGAAUUGGAGGAACCAUUGUUCACAAUAGGUCGUUUUUCUCCUAAGAAGGAAGAGGAGAGUGUUGAAGACUUAAGGAUAAUUCGUAGGUCACAGAGAGCCACAAAAGGCAAACCUCCAAAGAGAUUUGCUGAUGAGUUUGCUAAGAUAGCAGUAACAGCUGUUAAAAGCUCCAAGAAGGUAUUUGAACCUUCAAGUUUCCAAGAAAUCCAGGGUUUGGAUUCGAAGGAAGCUGAGCCAUGGUUAAAUGCCAUGAAGGCUGAGCUUGAUUCCUUAGAAAGGAACAAAACAUGGGAGCUAGUUCCAGUAGUUCCAGGAAUGAAACUGCUUGGAAGCAAAUGGGUCUUCAAAGCGAAGACAGAUCAAAAUGGCAAGAUAGUCAGACACAAAGCCAGAUUGGUAGCCAGAGGUUUUGCACAGGUACCAGGUGAAGACUAUCACGAGACCUAUUCACCCACAGUGAGAUAUGAAAGCAUUAGGCUUAUGCUCAAGCUAGCUGCAGAAGAAAAUCUACACAUUAGUCACCAUGAUAUUAAUACAGCUUUUCUGUACGGAUCUCUAGAUGAAUCACUUUAUAUGCUUCCACCUGAUGGCGUACAGGUAAAACAAGGAUUUGUUUGUGCUCUGAAGAAAUCCCUUUAUGGUCUCAAACAAAGUGCACGGUGUUGGCACACAAAACUCACUGAAGUAUUGUUUUCUCUAGGUUUUCAGCAAGGGAAAGCUGAUCCAUGUGUAUUUGUCAAAGAGGAGGGGCAAAAGAAACUGUACUGUUUGUUUUAUGUUGAUGAUUUAUUAUUCUUUUGGAAAGAUGUCGCAAUGUACAAUAACGCCCUAGCUCAACUGAAAGAGCACUUUGACAUGAAAGAUCUUGGUGAGGUAAACAACUACCUAUCUCUGGAAAUAGAGAGAGAUCAAGAUGGUAACAUUCUAGUACACCAGUCACGGAAAAUUGCUGAUGUGUUAAGCAAACUAAAUCUGAUGGAUGCUAACCCUGUAGACACACCGAUGACAACAGGUUAUCAGGUAGAUGACACUGAAGAAGCAUUUUCUGACACUACACUGUACAGGAGUGUGCUAGGCAAGCUAAACUUCAUUGCCAGAUGUUCAAGACCAGACAUUGCUGUUAGCUGUAAUUUGCUAAGCAGACAAGUCAACAAUCCUAGUGUCAAGGAUUGGAAAGCUCUGACACGCAUAGCGCGGUAUUUGAAAGGCACUAUGCAUUACAGACUGAGAUUUAACAAUCAGAAGUCUGGUGGUCUUGAGAUAUUUGCAGAUGCAAGUUUUGGAAGUGACGCUACAGACAGGAAAAGUACGUCUGGAGUUUGCUACAUGUACAAUCAGAGUCUGUUUGAUUGGUCAUGCAAGAAGCAAACAACAGUUAGCUUAAGUACUUGUGAAGCUGAACUGAAUGCACUGUCUUAUUCACUUAAGGAUUGUGAAUGGUUAGUACAAUUGUGCAAAGAUAUGAAAAUUCCUGUCAAAUGUCCAAUCCAGGUUUACCAGGACAACAAAGCAUGUUUGGCUUUGCUGAAGUCUGAAGGUUGUAAGCAAAGCACAAAGCACUUGCAAUUAAAGUUGCAGCAUGCUAGGGAAUGUAUUCAGAAGGGACUCGUAACGGUGUCCUAUAUGCCAGGUAAUGAAAUUCCUGCUGAUGUAUUGUCCAAGAUUGUAUCAAGGGAUCAACACUGUACCUAUGUGCAGAAGUUGGGUUUGUACUGAUAUUGUGCAAACACGCUGCCCAGUGAUGUUCACAGAAAGGGGGAGGAUGUUGGUUUCUGCUUUCCUUCACUGUGCAGCUCUGCUUGUCACGAGACAGGUGUUUACAUUCCACAGUCUGUACUGUUGGAGUUUCUCAUGGGAAAGGGAGACUGGAUGUGACGUACACUGGUUUCCUGUUUUUCACUGUGUUUCUCUCCGAGCUGUCGAGGAGAGAGGAUGCAUUCUUCUGCUCCGGCAGAGGCAAGAUGUCUUUCUGUAAUAUACCAGCUUUGAACUGUAAAUAAAGCAAUAUAGAGUAUGGAGCACGUAUUCCUCAUCCUUCCGCUGGGCACGAGACUCUGCUUUAAAUCAACACUACGAACAUGAACCUGCUUUCUACAGAGGUCGAGCAUUGAUUAAGCUAGAAUGGCAUUAUCUUGUCUCAUUGACAACAAUUCCUCAGCAUCUCAGUUUGGCUUCUGAGAAUUAGAGUUGUAAGAAAGCAGCAAUUUCAGUUCCGACCUGUAUUCGUCGCCAUCUGCGUCGUUUCUGUUCUGCUGCAGUUUGGUUUCUGCCAACUGCUAUGUUUUUUGUCUCAUCUUUCUCAAGUUUCUUAAAUAGCUUGUUUUAAUACUGUAUUGACAUGCGAAACUUUGGAAUCCAUCUUUUGAAUGAAGGCACGGUUUAGACCAGCCUUCACCAAACUGGUGCCCUUCAGAUGUUGCUGAACUACAACUCCCAGCAGUUCCAGCUGGAGGUUACCAGAAGGCUGGUUUAGACUAUUUCAAAUAAAUAAAAAUAAAUGAACUUGGUAAGCUUUUCAUAUUUCCCUUAUAAUGAGCAACCUACUAUCCUUUAUUUCAGUCCUUCGCAAAACAGCAACAAGCUUCUUCCCCUGCCCUUGACAGUUCAAAUAACAGAACAUUUGCGAUGGAAAAAGAAUAUUUAAUGCUAUUUUAUCUCAAUGUACACACUUCUAAAGACAUUUUAUCCCAAAAUACAUAUUUUGUGUAAUGUAUGCUUUUGAGCCAAUUAACAAAUUCUGAGAAGUGUGAAAUCUGAGGAAUCAUUACAUUCUGAUUUAAGUUUUAGUCUGGGAGGUGCCAUGUAGAUUGUUCACUUUAUUUAUUUUUUAUAAGAUAUUUAUUAAAGUUUCAAAAGUAGAAAAAAAAAGUUACAAUAAUAAUGAUAAGAAAAGAGAAAAAGAAAAAGAAAAAAAGAAUAAAAAAGAAAAAAGAGAAUACAAAAUACAAAAAAGUAAAAACAAUUAAAAACAAAUCAAUCUUUCCAUAUCUUGUCUUUCAUUUACUUGUUUCCCUGACCUCCUCACACCUCCCCUUUUUGUGUUUUGGUUCAGUAAGUUAAUUCAGCAAGUCCUUUCCCUCUUUGUUUUUAUCUUAGUCCUUUGUCUUAAUAUGUAAUAACUGUAUAUUUUCAUCUGUUAGCAGUCUAUUUUUACAUACUCCUUGUAACAUUGCUACUAAAAACCCCUUAGCUUCAUUCCGACAUCAUUCUAACAUUCAUUAAUUUUACAGUAUUUCUGUAGAUAGUCUUUAAAUUUCUUCCAAUCUUCUUCCACCGACUCUUCUCCCUGGUCUCGGAUUCUGCCAGUCAUUUCCGCCAGUUCCAUAUAGUCCAUCACCUUCAUCUGCCAUUCUUCCAGGGUGGGUAAAUCUUGUGUCUUCCAGUACUUUGCAAUAAGAAUUCUUGCUGCUGUUGUAGCGUACAUAAAGAAAGUUCUAUCUUUCUUUGGCACCAAUUGGCCGACCAUGCCUAGGAGAAAGGCCUCUGGUUUCUUCAGAAAGGUAUAUUUAUAUACCUUUUUCAUUUCAUUAUAGAUCAUCUCCCAGAAAGCCUUAAUCCUUGGGCACGUCCACCAAAGGUGAAAGAAUGUACCUUCAGUUUCUUUACAUUUCCAACAUUUAUUAUCGGGCAAAUGAUAGAUUUUUGCAAGCUUGACUGGGGUCAUGUACCACCUGUAUAUCAUUUUCAUAAUAUUCUCUCAAGGCAUUACAUGCCGUGAACUUCAUACCUGUGGUCCAUAACUGUUCCCAGUCAGCCAUCAUUAUGUUAUGUCCAACAUCUUGUGCCCAUUUAAUCAUAACAGAUUUCACAGUUUCAUCUUGAGUGUUCCAUUUCAACAGCAAGUUAUACAUUCUUGACAAAUUCUUAACUUUAGGAUCUAACAGUUCUGUUUCCAGUUUUGAUUUUUCCACCUGGAAGCCAAUUUUCUUGUCCAAAUUGUAUGCCUCCAUUAUUUGAUAAUAAUGAAGCCAAUCUCGCACUUUAUUUUUUAGUUUUUCAAAGCUCUGCAAUUUCAAUUUAUCUCCCUCUUGUUCCAGAAUUUCCCAAUAUUUCGGCCAUUUGGCCUCCAUAUUGAGCUUUUUCAGAGCCUUCGCUUCCAUCGGUGACAACCACCUUGGGGUUUUAUUUUCAAGUAGGUCCUUAUAUCUUGUCCAGACAUUAAACAAUGCUUUCCUGACAAUAUGGUUUUUAAAUGCUUUGUGUGCUUUGACCUUAUCAUACCACAAAUAUGCAUGCCACCCAAAUACAUUGUUAAAACCUUCUAAAUCCAAAAUGUCUGUGUUUUCAAGAAGCAGCCAUUCUCUCAGCCAGCAAAAUGCGGCUGAUUCAUAGUAAAGUUUAAGGUCUGGCAGGGCAAAUCCACCUCUUUCUUUUGCAUCCGUUAAUAUUUUGAAUUUUAUUCUGGGCUUCUUGCCCUGCCAGACAAAUCUAGAAAUAUCUCUCUGCCACUUCUUGAAACAGUCCAUUUUGUCCAAAAUUUGCAGUGUUUGAAACAAAAAUAACAUUCUUGGCAAUACAUUCAUCUUUAUCGCAGCGAUACGGCCUAGCAGUGAAAGCUUCAAAUUUGACCAUAUUUCUAAGUCUUUUUUCACUUCAGUCCAACAUUUUUCAUAGUUAUCCUUAAAUAAUUUCACAUUUUUAGCAGUCAUGUUAACCCCUAAAUAUUUCACUUUCUUAACCAGUGUUAAUCCUGUCUCCUUCUGAAACCUCUCUCUCUCAAUCGCUGUUAAAUUUUUCUCUAAAACCUUAGUUUUUAACUUAUUCAACUUAAAUCCUGCAACCUGACCAAAUUCUUGAAUCCGUUCUAUUACUCUUUUAGUACUAGAUUCUGGCUCCUGUAAUGUCAAUACUAAGUCAUCUGCAAAUGCUUUCAAUUUAUACUGUUUAGCUCCGACUUGUAUACCCUUAACCAAUUGGUCCCUUCUAAUCAUAUUUAAAAGAACCUCCAGGACCGAUAUAAAAAGCAAUGGGGAAAUUGGGCAACCUUGUCGUGUCCCUUUCUCUAUCUUAAGUUCCUCCGUCACCACAUUGUUAACAAUUAGUUUGGCCUUUUGUUCAGAAUAUAUUGCACUUAUACCAUUUCCAAAACCUUGACCAACCCCCAUCCCCUGUAGGUUCUUCUUCAUGAAACUCCAGGAAAUGUUGUCAAAAGCUUUCUCCGCGUCCACAAAAAUCAAAACUGCCUUGGUAUUAAUGUUCACUUGUAAUUUCUCCAAAAUGUUAAUUAUGUUUCUCGUAUUAUCAGAUAAGUGUCUGCCCGGGAAAAAGCCUACUUGAUCUUUAUGUAUCUCUUCCACUAAUACUUUUUUUAAUCUUUUGGCCAAAAUAUCUGCAAAAAUUUUAUAAUCCACAUUAAGCAGAGAUAUGGGGCGGUAAUUCUUAAGUUGUGUCUUCUCAGACUCAAUUUUCGGUAUAAGUGUAAUGUACGCCUCCUUCCACGACUCUGGUGCUUUUUUCCCUUCCAAAAUUUCAUUACAAACUUCCUUUAGUGGUUGUAUUAUCCAACUUUUCAGAUAUCUAUAGUAUCUUGAAGUUAAGCCAUCCGGUCCUGGAGAUUUACCCAAUUGCAUAUUCUGGAUGGCACCUUCUACCUCCUGUUCAGUUAUUUUAUAAUUCAACAUUAGCUUGUUUUCUUGAGAGAUUUUUUGUAGUCCAUUUAUUUUCAAAAAUCGAUGUAUAUCAAUUUCUUUCUGUGGCCCUUGUGUAUAUAGUUGUUUAAAGUACCUCUGGAUACAAUUUCUAAUCUCCACUGGGUUCUGUACAUUCUUUCCUUCCACUUCCAAAUUUGUAACAGUAUUAAGUUUUUGUCUUUUUUUCAUUUGCCAGGCCAGCAAUUUCCCACAUUUAUUAGCCGACUCAAAUGUCUUUUGUCUCAUCUGUUUAAUUUUCCAUUCUAUUUCCUGAUUCAUCAUUUUCAUAUAUUGUACUUGAUAUAACUUUAUUUCUCUCAAAAUCUCUUGCGACUUUGGUUUUACUCUCAAUUUCUUCUCACCUUCCUUUAUUUUCUCCAGAAUUUUAUCUUUCUUCUCAUUUUGGGUUCUCUUCUUUAUUGCAUUCUGUUGUAUCAAGAACCCUCUCAUAACCGCUUUACUUGCGUCCCAGAUUACUCUUUUUUCAACAGUAGUAUUCAUAUUAAUCUCAAAAUAAUCUCUCAAGGUUUUUUGGGCCUUCUUAAUCACUUCUUCAUCCCUAAACAAGGUGUCAUUCAUCCUCCAUCUGAAAGAGCCAAUUGGUGUUAGUUUCAUCUCCAUCUUUACAGCAUUAUGGUCGGAGCAGGUUUUAGGGCAAAUUUCCACUUUUCUUGUCUUUGGAGCCAGUCCUCUAGUUACCCAAAUUUGGUCAAUUCUUGCCCAUGUCAUUUUGGCUUCAGAAAAGAAAGUUCCCUCUCUACCCAAGGGGUUCUUUGUUCUCCAGAUAUCAACUAAAUCCAAAUUGUCAGUCAUCUCAAAAAGGUUUUCGGUAGUCUACCGUCCUUAGUAACUACCUGUCUCUGUGCCUUGUCCAUAUUUGUAGAUACCACUCCAUUCAUAUCCCCCAUCAUGGUCACAUUGUAAUCCAAAUAGUCCGUCAGAGUCUCAUGCAGCUUUUUAAAAAAAUCUGAUUUCCCCUCAUUUGGUGCAUAAACUCCUACUAUCAAGAAUUUCUCUCCUUGUAGUUGAAUUUCAAUUGCCACGAAUCUUCCUUGGUCAUUUUUAAAUAUAAAUUUCGGUGAUAGGCUUUCCUUUGCGUAAAUCACUACUCCCCUUUUUUUGACUUUGUCUGAUGAAAUAAACUCUUGACCCAGUCUUUUGUUAAUCAAUACUUUUCUGUGUCGCCUUACCACGUGUGUUUCCUGUAAACAAAUCAAGUCCAAUUGUUCCUUUUUUAAUAAAUGAAAGACUCUUUUCCUUUUUUGAGGGGAGUUCAGACCAUUAGUAUUCCAGCUUAAUAGUUGCAAAGCCAUGAUGUAGUUACUCUGCUUUUCCUCCAACUGCACCAAGUGUUUGUUCUUGUUCUGUCGGUGGUGUUAUUGUCACUUUCUCUGAGCAGUCCAAUCCAAAGGGUAAUGUAGCUAUAUCUAGUAUUCCUCUUUUUAAUAGUCCUUUGUCCGAUACUUUUUGUUUUGGUCUUCUGUCUGUCAAUUCUCUGUCCAAUGCACUUAGCUCUUCUCCAGGUUCUUUCUGCAAGUCUUCUCCGUGGUCUUUCAAAAAUCUUUCUUUGUCGUCCCCUGAUCUUAUUUUUAUCUUUCUUCCUUUAAAGCUAAAAGAUAGGCCUUGGGGGAAUUCCCACCUAAAAAUGAUUCUGUUACCUCUCAACAGGGCAACCAAAUCUCCGUAGUUGGACCUAAGAUCCAAAAGGUGUUUCGGAAUAUCUUUAAAUAUCUCCACUCUUGACUGAUGUAUUUCCAAAGUAUUCUGAAAGUGCAGGCUCAAAAUUUUGUCUCUCUCCUCUUUUGUUCGGAGGGUAAUCAAGCAGUCUCUCACCCUGCUCUUCUUCCCCCCUCUUCCAAGCCUAAAAGCACUCACUAUCUUAAAUUCUUCCUUCUCCAAAUCUAAAUCCCAAAAGUCUGCAAAUUCCUGCGUAAAAAAGUCAGUCAGAUUGUCCUUCUCUAGUUCAGGCACAGCCCUGAUCCUCAAGUUCGUUUGUUUCUCCUUCAAUUCAAUCAUAGAAAGCGUCGACCUGUGAUCCUCAAGUUGCCUAUGUGUGGCUGGUAUCUUCUCCUCUACAGCAACUGCUUUUUCCUUGGCUUCUUCGGCGAUCUGUUGGGUCGAAGUAGAUUCCUGUAACAAUUUCUCUAUAGUUUCUGUAUUAGUGUUCACCUUUUGUCCCAGAUUGUUAAUGCUUAUGGUGUUUUGAUCAAUUUUGAUUGAUGCUUCGGCCACUUGUUUACUUAAUUUUUCCAGCGAUUCAUUUAUUUUACCUAAUGCAAGUGCUAAAACAUCUUCAGAUGCCAUGCCUUUUGACUUAGAUUGUUUAGGUGCAGCCGCUGAUGGUGCAGAAGGGCCAGAUGUUGAUGCUCUUCGCUGCAGCCAGGAUUUCCCAGACCUCGUUGUUUUGUCUUGGAAGAGAUCUACUUUUUCUUUUCCAUCUGCCAUAACACUUUAGCUGAAACCCAAGGUCAAUCCCACGGCCACAAUUUGUUUUGAAGUGGAAAAUUCCCCUGGCCCAAUUGUUGUAACAAUUUCGAAGACUUCCUCUAGGGGGACACUGUAACAGUCAAAACUUGUUGCAUUAAAGAAUAACUCUUUUUAAGCCCCCCAUUUCACUAAACAAGCAACAAUUUCAAUUUCAGCUACUUUUCGGUUACUUUAAGAUCAGGAGGAGACAGCCAGAAACAAUAUAUCUCCUUUGCAGAGCUAGCUGUCAAAAAGUGCUCUGUUCACCAACAGCGCAUUUCGCAAUACGGCAGUCUUAUUGUCUAUUGGCAGCCCGUUCCCAGGUUUUAAGCAGUGGAUUCUUACUUCCUUCCCUCUCUUUUUGCAGGAAAAUAUAGUUCAAACCUUUCCCCCCUCCUCUCCUGCAACCAAGGGGGGAAAUCACUUAUUUUGAUGUUAGAAUUAUAGUCCUUCCCGAUCGACUUUCCAGGUCUUUAACUUACAGCUUCUUUGCUUUAGUCUAUUUACAAGAAACAGAAGGUGGACUUCCUGUUUAUGCCUCCCCGCUUCGGUGCCAAAUUAAACCUUUUUUUCCUUCCUUCUUUUUUUUCCAAUUUGUCCUACUCACGGGUAGUUGCUUUUUGUGGUCGCAUUUUCACAGGAAGAAGUCAGCGCUCUCCGGUAAUGGCUGUGCGGCUUUGCUCCGCGGAAGAAGCAGUUGACUCACAGCACCGCGCCACUCACCCCACUACGCUCCAGAGCCCAUAGUUGGGUCCCUUUGCGAAUUGGGGGGGGGCGCAAAAGGUGCCCGCCGAGUCCCACACUCACAGGCUUCACCCGCCUGUGAUUUUUGAAGGGUCCCCGCUUUGCUGUAGCGGUACAGACCCGAUUCCCACAGAGCUGGUCCCUCCGAGUCAGAGGGAAUCCGCCAUUACCGAUGGCGCCAGCCCGGAAGUCUGUAGAUUGUUCACUUUAAAAGGUGGACUUGAUGAGCUUCUCUUCCAUUCCCAAAACUUAGGUUGCAAGCAGGUAUGAACCCGACAAUCAAUAUUUGGGAGACGCUGAGGUAAGGAAAGCUGAGGACAAGAGCAAAAUGUAGACAAUGUUCAAAGAGCUGAUCUUGAGAAGUGGAAAGCAGGGAGCAGAAGGUGGGAUCACAGCAAGCAGGAUCUUAGAGCACAAGGCCAGUGGAUCACUCCUGAAACAAACACCAAUGCUUGACCUGGAAGUAUAUUUAUAACCUGGCCAGUGCAGCAUAAUUCAGUGUUCUACCUCUGGGGAUAGAGAGCAAUAGGACUCCAUAUUUUCUCCACUCUGCUCUUUUUAAAAGUGCCUCACCACAGGGAGCUCAAACACAAUAAUGACAGAACCUCCUUAAUUCUUCACAGCCCAAUCAAUCCUGACCAUUGGACAUGAUCAACAUCAGUCAGAAGGGUUUUGUUUUUUUUGUUUACAAAAAAAUCUACUAAUGGAUGCACACAGUGUUCCCUACAUGGGGAAUGUAAACCCUAACUGACCGCAGUUCACAUCUGUGUGGAAGAAAUACAUCCAUAUUAUCAGCAGCGUUGGCAUCAGCAUACCAAAGUAGACCAAGGCAGCAAAUAAAUAACAAAACAAAACAAAUGUUUGCGAAGUUUCAGAACACGCCAAACAUCCUCACAAUGAAUAACUUUGAAGUUGCAGAACAAUACAUUUAAACCACCUUCAGCAUUAUGAUGAUUUUGCAUAGGGCAAGCGAGUGCAGUCACUCAAGCCUGAGAGCCCCUCCGUGCAUUCUUAUGAACAGGGCUCCAGUAAACUAGCUAUAAAUGGAGCCUGUACAGUGGUACCUCAGGUUAAGAACUUAAUUCGUUCUGGAGGUCCAGUCUUAACCUGAAACUGUUCUUAACCUGAAGCACCACUUUAGCUAAUGGGGCCUCCCGCUGCUGCCGUGCCGCCAGAGCACGAUUUCUGUUCCCAUCCUGAAGCAAAGUUCUUAACUUGAGGCACUAUUUCUGGGUUAGCGGAGUCUGUAACUUGAAGCGUCUGUAACCUGAAGUGUAUGUAUCGCGAGGUACCACUGUAUAUGUCAUUGUAUGAAAUGCACAGGCCAAAAUGCAUAGGACCACUAUCGCCUACUUCAGGGUUAGUCAACAGGAUUCCCUUCAGAUGUUGUAGACUGAAACUUCCAUCAUCCCUGACCAUUGGCUGAUGGGAGUUGUGGUCCACAAGACUUGGAGAGCAGAACAUUGACCAUCCUGGAUUUUCUUGAAUGGAACAAAUUUCUGUAACUGUAACCCCACUUCAAAGUGAUGUUCUGAAUAUGAUCAGGAUAGAGAUAGAGGGCAGCAUUCAAUCAAAUUUUAUUCAGAAUAGACCCACCAAAAUUGAUGAGCACGCCUAAGUUAGGCCCAUUAAUGUGCGUGGGCCUUCUCUGAGUAAAAUAUAGUUGAAUACCAACCAACGGAUGCAAUGCAGUUUCCAAAAAGGACUCAUCUUCUCUAUAUGCCAUUUUUGCUGCCAAUGUGGAUUGGCACGCUCCCAUUGAAAUCAAUGAAACUAAUGUGCACAGUGAAAUGUUUGUCACAUUCAGUCGACAGGACUCAGUUGCAAUGAACGUCUGCUGGACUGCAUUAUGCUGGAACACAAAAGAGCCAUGUGCUAAGGCAGGCAGUCCAAUGAAUCUGCAAGCCAACUUAGCUUAUGGUGUUGGAUUUCAGCCAGUUUACUCCUCUAAUGGUCUCAGAUCAGGUUUCAUUGAGGUACUCUGAUAAAAGAAGUUCUGGGAACCAGGUUAAUUCUGAGCUAAUGGCCUUGCACUGCUGACACAUUUCUUUGCUAAUGCCCAGAUCUAACCCCCAGGAUCAGACAUACAUGGAAUCCUGAAGAUAUGAUUAUGAGAAGGAUCUGUGUCUUACUAUUAAAACCACCUCAUUUUACAUCUCAUAGUUAUGGAUGCUCAUUAGAUGCAUUUUAUAGUGAUUAGGCUCUUUCAGGCGGUCCAGUUCAUUCAGUAACAUUACAAUGCAAAAAUGUCACCUAACUGUGUUUAGGUUAUUGCAGUUCAUACUCCAGCAUUUGAUACAAAGACACAACUGUGACUCUCUUGAAUGAGUCAGGCACAAGGGAAAUGGGGUGCACGAAAACAGCCAGGUGUGUUGGAAAGGUCAUCGCUUUCUGUAGCGGCAAAACAAAAAGGAGCAUUCUGAGACAAUGAAAAGAGGUGCCAGGAACAAGGCGGAAGGGAUGACUCCCAGAUCAAAGAGAACGGCACAUCAGUGGAACCGAGGCAUAAAAACACAAAGCAAUUCUGACAAAUGUGAGAAUGAAUUUGUAUAUGAUAUGAAGGGAAAUGUACACACACACACACACACACACACACACACACACACGUCAUAUCUCCAAACAUUUGAAGGAGAUGCACACAGGCAUUUCAAAAGAAUCUUUCCACUUCAUGCUUUGACAGAUCUUGAAGCUGAUGUUUGCUUGUGCUACCCACAAAAGGGCAUCUUAUUGCCUCUCAUGUACUGUGGCUUUUGCAGCAGACCCCUUGGGAGGAAAAAUUGGGCCCCAGAGAAACCAGUGGCCGUGUGCUUCUCUCUUCCUCACCUUAACCCUCAGCCUCUUCAUGAGGAAUCCCUUAGAGACACACCUCCCUGUCGCCUCUUUGCACAUUUCUUUCUCCUGUUUAGGGUUUGGGUGAUCCUGAUGGAAGAGGUCCCCUUACUUAUAAAGGCUGCAGCCCUAAAUGGAGAAGAACCAUAGCUCAGCCGCAGAGCAUAUGCUUUGUGUGCAGGACGGCCCCAAGUUGAGCCCCUGGCAUCCUCUAGUCUAGUUCAAGCAGCAGCAGGAGCUAUGAAACACCUCUCUGCCAGAGACCCAGCAUAUCUGCUGCCACUCAUUUGUAGACAAUGGUGAGUUAGAGGGGCAACGCUUUCACUGAUAAGGCAGCUGUCCUUGUUCCUUUUAAUAAGGGUAGAGUGAAGUGAACAAUACUAGCUGGGGGUGAUGGGAGCAGUGGCUGAGCUUCAUGCUCCAGCACCGGGGGGGGUGGAGAGCAGGUGGGGGUGGGGCUGGCGGGCAUCUCGGGGGCGUGGCACGCAUCCUGGGGGUGUGGCACACUGCCUGCGGGGGCGUGGCACCCAGCACGCAUGGGGGGGCAGCUGCGAUGGCACCCCAAUGGGAUUGCACUGCUAGGGGAGGUGCGCUUCCCCCCCCCCACUCCUCUUCCUCCGCCAGUGGAUGGGAGUUUAGUCUGGCAAAAUCUGGAGGGCCACAUGUCCCAUCUCUUAAUUAAAAUAAACCUUUGCUUGACUAAAAUGGUGCCUCGCAUAAUCAGGCAGAAUAUUUUCAUUCACACACACACACACACACACACACACACACAAACAAACAAACACAUACAUAUAAUCUUUUAAUGCUGCAGAUGGAAAACACCAUCUUAAAAGAGGUAUUUCAUCAGGGCCAGCCCUACCAUUGGGCAAUAUUAGGCAGCCACGUGGUGGCAGAUGCUGAAGAGUGGAGAGGAGACAGAACUGUCUGAGGCACAUGGCUUGCCCUGCAUCCCAUUAGCUGCCCUGCUGCCCUCAGGUGUGAUGGAAGACUCUAGCCUAUCACCAGCUUUAGUACAUGGAAUAGGGAGAUACCACCUUCUCCUUUGCCUUAGGCAGCAAAAUGCCUUGGUCAGCCCUGUAUUCCACCUUCUCUCUCAAACAGGAGGAAGUACUCUAAUGCAUAGAUAAUAUACAAUCAUCUAGAUGUAAAGGAGCUGCAGAUUUGUAACUGUCUGAUCUAUCAAAUUUGUUGAUUUGGGCUGCCAUCCUAAACCUGGGAGUAAGCUUCACUGAAUAGAAUAGGGCUUAACUUCUAAGUAGACAUGGUUAGGCUUGUACACUGUAAUGCUCAUAUGAAUAAUUGUCUCAGUUUGCUUUUAUCUUGGGUGACAACCCAUAUGAUAAGGCAUGUGGUGAGUUGUGGGUGCACAACAAAAAUCAGAACAUAGAUACCCCUUGAUGUUUUAUGUGCUGAUUUCUAUUGCUGGCAAGCACUUCCAGGGGGCUCCAGAAUAUGCAUUUCCUAUCCCCCUCCCAUCAGACUUGGCAGAUGAAUGAAAUAUUUUAUAUUGCAACUAGCAGCCUUUUAUCAGAAAUCACUUAAAAGCUUUUCAGUUUCUGCAAACUUUUAGAUCAAUAUGUCAGAUUUCCCUGUGCAGAGCACUAUAUAUAGUGCAUAUAGCAAAUUGCUUCCUAUAUUGGUUCAAAAUCCAUUAUAAAAGGACACUGGCUUAAAUCCCAAGAUGACAUAAAAAGAUCAUUGGGCCUACAGAAGUCAAUGGAACUGAAAAUUUCUCUGCCUAAUUUCAGGAUUGCAAGAACUGAAACUCAGCUAAUAGAAACUGCAUACAGUUUCUAUACAAUCGUAAUCAUAUUUUCAUUGUUACUUGUUCUGAUUAAUUAGGCAUUACAAGAAACAUUAUCCACAGUGCUUGUUGAAUUAAAAAAAGGAGAUUAUUUAAUCAACAUCUUGUAAUGACAGGGACUACAAUAGAUGACAGAUAUUUUAAGCACAGUGGUCAUGUGGAAUACAGAUAGCACUUUUGGAAAAACCUACUAGUCAGUCUCAAUGGCAACCUGUGCAGCACAGCAAAGCACAUAUUUGUGUAAGAGAAAUUGUGAUGGGUGCUUUGAUGACACCACACUCCUUUUAAGCAACCUUCAUUUUAGAGAGCACUGCUCUACGUACUUUCUCCUUCAGAGGUGAGAAGUAUAUCUCUACUAUGGAGUGGCCUCUUCCCGGAUCUUUGCCUGACAUCUUCAAUUUUUAUAUACCAAAGGUGCAUUCGGACAUGUGGAUUCUUACAUUAGUUUUCCUGAUUAUAAAGCUAGCACUUGUAUCCUGGAUUCUUAUGUUCCAUUAUGGAACUGGGGCUUUUUUUCAUUAGUGUUGCCAUGUUGUGCUAAAUUUUAAGUGAUGAGAAAGAACUGUAUGCUGGAAUACUGCCCCAAAUUUUGUCACGUGAAAUUAGAGUGCAUAAAUCUUAUGAUUUUCUGCAUUAACAUGGGGGCAAACAGAAUUUUCCUGGAAGCAAAUAACACAGAGAUGAGCACUCAAUUUCCACUAGACUCUGCUAGUUUUCCAGACGUUACUCUACUCUGUGUAAAAGAUCGCAUAAAAUGUGGAAAUUAUCAGAUAAGGAAUAAAGUGCUCUCUGAAUGCAGCCAAAGUCAAGGCUAUUAUGAUUCACAAAGCCUUUGGAGGGUUAUAAUUCUGGAUAGACUUUUUCAUUAUACCUGCUAUGUUAUAGGGAGACAUUGGUAGUGGGGUGUCCCAGGGAGCUCAAGCCCCCCACAACUUUAAAAAAACGCUUAUAGUUAUUGGCUUCUUUAUACUUACAUGAUGACUUGGCAUGCUACAUAGUACAGUACUGCCAGGGGUGCCAACUUGAAUAAAAUAGAGGGGGGGAGCCAGGUAAGCACCACCCUACAUAAUCAAUCACAUGAUGCAAUGCAUGCACACCAUUGGAAUGGCAAUGCACAUCAAAUUUGCACACAUCCCCCCCAGCAAAGACCCUUUGGCCCCUAGGCAUUGGUUCCUAUGAGCACUGUGGAGAGCACUAAAAUCACCCAGCAACUUGCCCUGCAGUGCUUGUAUUACUUUCAAUAUGCACAUAAGCAACAGCUCUUCCCAACAGUCUAUGGGUAGGACAGAGGGCCCAAUCCAUCAACACUGUUCUGGCCUACCGCGUACUGCCUCCAGAAAAUCCUGUUGGACUCCCAGUUGACAACGCUGAAAGCCAGGGCUCAUUUCCCCCUUCUGAUAAUCAGCCUAAGGAAACACACACACACACACACACACACACACAUACAGAGAGAGAGAGAGGGAGAGAGAGAGAGGGAGAGAGAGAGAGUCUAUACUGGAGUGGAGGACAAGUCUGGAGGAAAAUGAGGAGGUGGAAAUGCAGAUCAAAGGACAGUGUGCUCUUUUAAUAUACACUCAGAUUAUUGGUUGGCAUUUACUUUUUAAAUACAUUUUUAUUAGUUUUUAAUAUAUUAAUUCCAACAUUCAUACAACAUAACUUCUCAUCUUAUACAAUAUUUUUGGACUUCCGUCAACACCUCUGAUGAUUUUCUGUUCUUUAUCACUUAUUAUGCAUUUCUUAAUUUCAUAUUACCUUUAAUUAUCCUUAAUUAAUAAUUCUCCUCAUUAUCUUUUUUGCAAUAUUUCAAAUAAUACACCUUACAAAAUUUAUUGCAAACCUACUAGCAUAAUUUGUUCAUCACAAUUGCUUUUCAAAUAGUCCGUAAAUUUACUCCAGUCUUCUGAGAAUCUCUGGUCCCGCAGGUUUUGAAUCCUUAUUGGAUGGCAUUUACAGAUAUUACAGAGCAUAGGGUAGUAUCAGUAAAAUGUGAGGCAACAUAUUUGAAAAGCUUUGAGGCGUGCCAAGCCUGAUGGAGAAGAUGCGACUCUACGAAGGGUUUGCUGUUUUACCUGCAUCUGAGACUCUCAUACACCCCAGAUCGCCUUGAGAUCUUCAGCCAAUCGAAUAUGUACUUUGCAGGUGUCCAACAGCUGGAUAUAUACCCCACCUAUGGCAAAUGCUACCUUUGGGACUCAAUGUAGCAAAAAACCCCAUGCCUAAGAUUUGUGAUUUGCUAUAGGUGGCUUUUUGGGGACGCGGGUGGCGCUGUGGGUAAAUCCUCAGUGCCUAGGACUUGCCGAUUGUCAGGUCGGCGGUUCGAAUCCCCGCGGCGGGGUGCGCUCCCAUUGCUCGGUCCCAGCGCCUGCCAACCUAGCAGUUCGAAAGCACCCCCGGGUGCAAGUAGAUAAAUGGGGACCGCUUACUAGUGGGAAGGUAAACGGCGUUUCCGUGUGCUGCGCUGGCUCGCCAGAUGCAGCUUGUCACGCUGGCCAUGUGACCCGGAAGUGUCUUCGGACAGCGCUGGCCCCCGGCCUCUUAAGCGAGAUGGGCGCGCAACCCCAGAGUCGGACACGACUGGCCCGUACGGGCAGGGGUACCUUUACCUUUACUAUAGGUGGCUUUAGAGCUCAACUUUAGUGGCAGGAAUAGAGGCAUUUGGGUUUAAAAAGACAAAUAAAGGGGAAAUGAGUCAUAUCACAUCAGGCGCUGAACAGGUAAAGUAGCGGCUGCCUAGGAACAACAAGGAGCUCAAGCUAAGGCUUUGCAGUGGCCUUGCAUUUGGUACUGUUUAAAUGUGGUGCCAAGCGCAAGCUUCGCUACAAUGGGCCAAAGACAUAAAAAAUGCAUCUCAGCUGCAGGGACAGCAACUAGUUUUGAAUGCCUCACUGAUGUAGGUGGGUUGUUUUUUUCCCUAGUCCCUGAAUAACAAUUCUGAGACAAUAACUUCAGAAUCUUUAUUGUGCAAACAGGCACUUGGUAACACAAUUGCCACCAACACUGAUGAAAUGAAAAUGUAACUGGCUGAACAAAUGUUUCCUUCAUCUCCUUUAGAAACCUUUUGUCCAUUAAGCAAGCAAUUCUUGUCAGUGCCUUGAACAAUCACUUGAGUGCUUUGUGCGUGUGUAUCAAUCUCUCAUUCUCUCUCUUUCUCUAGACAUAUAUUCCUCCCUUUUUUCUUUUCUUUUUUGAAGAAUUUGGGUCUCAUAAGUGUCAAAGGCUGAUCUACAACACCAGGGAGAGUCCAGACAGGUAUGCGGCUACAAAAAAUUCCCCAUCCAGCUCCAUCAAGGCAUCUCAAAAUUUGACAGGCAGCACCUCCUGCUCUGCCAAUCUUGCUUCCUGGAAAAAUUCUGUCAGAGAGCCUCCCAUCUUGAUACACACACAGCCUCUCUGUGUGAUUAUGAUAGGCUGAAUGAAGGAAAAACCAACAAACACAUUUCACGAGUGGAUUAAAAAAAGAAAAGGGAAAAAAAAAACAUUUGAAGCUGAAUCUCCAGAGGGAAAAGUCUGGUAUAUUGAUGUCUUACUUGGUUGAAUGAGAUUUCCUGUAGAAUCACUGGGAGGUAAGUCCCAUUCUCUCCUGUGUCCUGGUCACUGCUGAGCAGUCUUCAUAAAUCUUAUCAGGUGAUGACUGUUUAUGCACCAAUAAAAUAACAGAGAGAGAGAGAGAGCAAUGACUGACAAAAUGAAUAGGAUUUGCAAUUUGCAAGGAAUUGAAGUUCAGUGUGUGUAGAAAGUCUCCCAGUGUGGUGUAGUGGUUAAGAGCGGUAGUCUCGUAAUCUGGGGAACCGGGUUCGCGUUUCCGCUCCUCCACAUGCAGCUGCUGGGUGACCUUGGGCCAGUCACACUUCAGCCCCACUCACCUCACAGAGUGUUUGUUGUGGGGGAGGAAGGGAAAGGAGAAUGUUAGCCGCUUUGAGACUCCUUAAAGGGAGUGAAAGGCGGGAUAUCAAAUCCAAACUCUUCUUCUUCUUCUUCCCAGCCAUUCCAGAGGAAAUCUCAUUCAAAUGUGCCUUUGAAUGUAACACUGUUAUGUUAAAUACACCUUUGCAAUGCAGCUCCUAGGCUGCAUCAGUUCUGCCCCUUCUCUAGCCUCAGGAUGCCUCACUUCAGGGCAUUGCAUCAUUGGACCUGGGAUUGUUUCACAAUAGAGCCAGCAUGGCAUAAUGGUUGGAGUGCUGGGCUAGGAUCUGGGACACCAGGGUUCAAAUCCCCACUCAGCCAUGAAGCUCACUGGGUGACCUUGGGCUUGUCCCAGUCUCUCAGCCUAGCCUACCUCACAGGGUUGUUGUGAAGAUAAAAAUGGGAAAAACCAGGAACUCCACCGUUAGCUCCUUGGAGGAAAGGUGGACUAUGAAUGUACUAUUAAAGAAAGAACUAAUACACGGAGAGUUAAAAACAUUUGUAAAUAAAUACAAUUUGUGAAGGAUUACAGCCUCCCUGUGUAAUCCUAUGCAAGUAAGUCCUUUUGAGUUCAAUGGUACUUUGUCCAGAGAAGCAAUUCUCAAACUUUUUUUCUCUGGGCCAUACGUUCAGAAUAAAAAUUUGCUUGUGUCACACUGAUUUUUUUUAUUGACAAGAAAUACAUUGGAAACACAUCUAUCAGUAUCACUCAAUGCCAUUGCUCUCGUUUUGAAAGAAUAGCUAUCCAUAUUCUGCAAAGAAAAAGUACUUGGAUACUGCACUGCAAUGUUUAAACGUUUCUUUGAUUGAGCUUGAUUCUCCCUGCCUCACUUGCUAUCCUUUCCUGCCACACCCUUGGAGAACCGCUGCUCUGGAGGAUUGCAGCUUUAGUUGUCUGUGGACACUGGAAGUGAAAAAAGAAAGGAAAAGAUGAGGGCCAUUGUGAGGCUUGGCAGUGUAAAAAUAUUUUCUCUCUCUUUGAUUUAUUUGCUUUACAAGGGUUCUAAAUCCCAUCAGCAAGACAGUCACAACUAUCUGAACCCUGAUGAAAUGAAUUUCUCCUGGCUGCCCUAUGUGACUGAACCGCAUUUUCCAAUUGAAGGGGUCAGCAUGAGUGUGUGGGUGUGCAACUGUGUGGGUGUGCAUACGGUGAACAUUUUUCUCUUCCAUUUUCUUUUCUUUUUUUCUUAAGGAAUGGAACAGACUUGUGGGUGAACAUAUAUGAAGUGAAACAGACCAGGAGCAGUUGGCACCACCCCACCGAAAUCGCAAACUGGUGGCAAUGGAAGCAUGCGAGUUUGUAUACGGCUCUGAUGUUCCCCAUUGAUCUGUAUCUUUCCUGGGAAAAGCAGAAGUGCCAUCAUCAGCUCUGAGCCGUAUAGUAUAUACUGUAUGCUGUUCAGAAUUUAGAAAUUUGGCCAGACACUUCUAGUUCAGCUCUGGUUUAUAUGAAAUCGAACAUUCCAUCACUAUGAUGGCGUAGAUGAAGCAGAGAUUUCCCUGUAGCUUCUUUCUCAUCAAAAAGAGAGGAUCCCUGCGAGGGUAGGAAAUCUGAAUUGUAAACAGGUUUUUAGGAUUACUGACGCAUGGUUUGGAAACACAAAAUGAAGGAACAAAUCUUCCCACAGAACCAUCAUUGCAAAGGGGCAGAUAUCAGAGCGCACUAAUUCUGGGCUGCCUGCGUCACUUGCGCAGAAUUUUGUCUCCGGGUCAGUGGGAAUGUUAAUUAGAAGAAUGAAAUGUUUUGUGACAAUUUGAGGAUUCUUUCUCCCCUUGCUUCUGAUGAAUUUGUAAGUGACAGCAUGAGUUGAUUGGGGAAUGGGGGUGGGGUGGGGGUGGGGGUGGGAUGGCAGGUGGAGAAUUUAUGUGUAUGGAGCUGAGCCUAUCAGAGCUUCUGAAAUGGUUCACGUUGCAAAUGUAAGAUAAAUGUGACAUUAAAAGCAACUCCACAAUUAAAGCCACAAAGGCAGCAAAACGGCAAUAGCAAUGAAAAGAGCUACGAACUACAACAAAACAGCAGCAUUGAGAUAGUUAGCAAGCACCACCCCAAAAAAAUUGAAAACACACUUGCAUUGGCUCAGAGAUUAGUGGGGUCAGCCUGAGAUGUUUUGGUGCCUGAGGCAAAAGGAUAAGAUGGCAUUCCUACCAUGGCACCCAAAAAAACCCCUCACUGGAUUGAAUCUUACUUUGAAACUAGCAAUAAGACAGCAUUCUCCACCAUGCCUGAGGGAAGCUAGCUGGUGCAGAGGGUACAAUGCAAGCCAUGUGAUAGGUACACAUGGCUCUGUCUUCCAACAGAAGGGAAUGGCCAGGGAUUGCUUCCACUGUUUCCCUAGCUACUGCUGUCGCUUUGGUGCAGUGCCAUUCGCUGCCUUCCCCUUGGAGACCCAGACGUACUUCAUCAAUGGACAGGCAGCAACAUGUUUUAAUGGGAGCUAAGGUCAGUUCCUCCCCAUGGUGGCCACCCACCAUCUUAACUAACCCCAAAUGCAAUGCCUCAACCCAUAGAUCUAUGCAACCUAACAAUUUCCUAGAUCUAUAGUCCUACUCGGAUUAUAGAUAAUACUCAGAUUAUAAAUAAACGCCAAAGAUAUAUGGGACGCUACAUUUUGGGUGAAUUAAAAUGAUGGGCGGGCACCACACAUAGGAGCUUGCCUCUCAUUAAAAAGUGGCACCACUGCCCACUGUAGAAAGACGUCUGGGGAGGCCUGGUUGGGGAGGGCAAUGAAUAGCAGCACAACUUAGUCUGGUUAGCAAACGAUCUUUCCAAGCUCAUGGUGCCCCAUCUAACUGUGUCCAACCAGUGCCCAACCUAGCUGACCACUAGGGGAGUCAAAUUCACUACAAAUGGGCCAAGCCUCGAGCUGGUCUAUAGUCCACUUUUCUGCUCUCUUUGAGAAGUGGUCUUGGUUGCAGAGACUUUCUGAGGAUUUCUCCAUAACUGUUUUUCAAAAAGGUUUUUUCAAAUAUGAUGACGUUUGUCCUGAUAGGAUUUAGUCAGCCACUGUCAUCAUCAGUCUUUGAUCUUAACUGUCUGCUAACUGGGGUGCUGCUGAAAUGUGUAUUUACUUUAACUUCUGUCUCAUUGAUUCACUGUUGAGGUGAUUAUGUUAGUCAUUAACCACUAUUAACAUUCAUUGUUUUAUUGUUAACCUUUCUCUCACUUUUUUGCCCCCACAACUUAGCCAAACAAAAGCGCAAUCAUUGCCUUAUUGUCUUAAUGUGAAUCUAUGAUAUUUAGUAAUGUGACCAAAAAAAAAGGCCUUUACUGGUAUUUUUGAGGAUUGAAAUGUGAGUCUGAUGCAUAUAUUUUCGUUACAACAUGAUUACAUUGAUUGUUACAAGAUAAUAACAUGAUUAUGGUUUUUCAUUAUUAAUGCAUGCAAAAAUACAAAGCAUUUUGUUCUUCUUUCUGGGCAAAGUGCAUGGGUAGUUUGGGAAAGGGAAUCAUAACCACACCUUGCAAGCUAUGCCUUGAACAAUAUGAACUGGGUUUUGGGGGUGGAAUCAUAAACAUACAGUGCCCUGAAAUCUAUCUUUCUCAAGGAGGUGUCAGUCUCUGAACUGGGGUAAGAUGUAGAUGUGUUUCACUUUGCAAAAUCCAGACCAAGAAUCAAUGGAAUGGGUCACGCAUUUGCUUGACAAUACAAGUAGUUAAUAUGCUAGCCAGCUGACAGGAAAAUAAAAAUGACAAGGAACAGUAUUAUUAAUUUUUUGGUGGGGGCGUCCAGCACCUUCUCAUUAUUACUUGAACAGACAAUAACCCUGAGGCAAGAUGCAUAUUUCAAUGGGCAAUUACUGGCAUAUUGAGUUUUCAGCCAGCUCUGAAACUGUCAUAAAAAUGUAAACAAUAAUGGCAUUUUCGAAAAGCUAAAGGACCACAUCGGGAAUAGUUAAAAAUAGAGUAGUGAGAGCUGAAGUGAAAUGCUACGUGUGAUGAGUCCAUUGAAUUGUUGUCUGAAGUGCUGACCACUGAAGCAGGGGCAUGACUUGGCCCCCAGGUUAUGGGUGGCCAGUGCACGUGAUGCAACAUCAUGACGUCACCUGACCCACAACCUCAGAACCUUACUUCUGGUGGCACCAGAAGUCAGGUUCUGAGGUCUUGCAAGGCCUCGGGCAGCAUCUCUGAGCUCAGAAGUUGUGUCGGGGGCUCUGCGGCGUAGGUGCUAAGCACCCACAACAAUUUUUUAGUGGACGCUCAGGUCCUAGUGCUCAGGCCAUAGUUGACAUAUUGGCUUAGGUAUUGGACCUAUUCAACUACAUCUGACUCCAGCCCGUCUGCUGGAAAUCCAAGAAGGGUUAACCACCAGUAGGGGGAGUCCUGCUGAUGCACAUCAACUAGGAGCUCCCCCGGGGUCAUCGAUAGGGGGUGUGCCUUAGGUCUUCUUGUAAUGAAAAAACAGGCACGUGUAAUCUUUGAUGGUAUGUGUGUAAGUGAAUAUGUAGUAAGUGGGCAAUAUGCUGGAAAUCGGAAUAAGUGUAUAAAUCCUGCAGGAUAUAUGUGGAUGUAGGGGUCAAGGAAAGAGGCAGUUUGGAGGUAAUACUAGGGAGUUUUCUCUUUUCUCUGUGAAAUGUGACACAACAUUGUUCUGAGUUUGUAGGGGACAGACACCCCCAUAAUCUCUACAUUAAACAAAGGAUUAGAAUUUGAGCAAAUUCAUAAAUUCAUGAAUUUAGCAAGGGCUGGGGGUAGGUCAUCGAGGAAACAAAAGGCUGAUAAUGGCAUGCUUUGUUUGAUAAUGGUAAGCCACCGGGUGGAACGUAAGACUCUCUGUCCAGUAGCUUUUGGGAUCGGACUACCAUUGGCCUGGUGUUAGCUACAGGGAAAAAUGUAUUCUGCAAUGGCUUUGAGAAACCGAGGUUGCCAGAGUGGCCAAUGGGGGGGGGGUAGGAUGCUGGAAGUGGAAGAGGUGGAGUGGUUUUCUGCAAGUGCUUCUGGGAAGAAGGAGGAGGAUGUGAGCAGAACUCCAUGUGGAGAUUGAAGGGCAGCAGCCCUGCUGGCUGGCUAGAGAAGAAGAAGAAGAAGAAGAAGAAGAAGAAGAAGAAGAAGAAGAAGAGUUUGGACUUGAUAUCCCGCCUUUCAGUCCCCUUAAGGAGUCUCAAAGCGGCUAACAAUCUCCUUUCCCUUCCUCCCCCACAACAAACACUCUGUGUGAGGUGUGUGAGGCUGAGAGACUCCAGAGAAGUGUGACUAGCCCAAGGUCACCCAGCAGCUACAUGCGGAGGAGUGGGGAAGCAAACUUGUUUCACCAGAUUACGAGUCCACCGCUCUUAACCACUACGCCACGCUGGCUCGUAAAGAGAGACAUAGUGAUGGCGCUUAGGAUGCCAUCCAAAGCUACACCACUGGGAAGGACAAGCUCCCCUUGGGAGAUAAAUUCUGUGAACUCUUUAUCCCCAUCUAAAAUCAGGUUCAAAUAUGUGUAAAUAAACUGUAUCUCAUAAAGACACUGCAGAUUCCAUUGUGCCUUGUUUCCCCCAAAGGAAACACAAACCCUGGUUAAGUGCCAAGCCCCCUGAAAUCUCCCACUGCUGAACGGAGAUUGGCGUGGCCUGUAACAAUAUCCUCGGCUGGCUCCUUGCUUCUGAACCACCUCCUACCUUUAUAUGGAGCAGUAGACCCCCAUUUCCUUGUGGAAAUAUAGCCUCUGUGUGAUAUAGACAGACCUGCUGGAAAUAUUGGGUAAUUGGGCAUGUACUCCAUUAAUGAGGGUAAGGACAGGAGGCCCAACAUUUGACCUUGGGAAUCAGGCCGCUGAGCCCUAAGAUUCAAUCCCUGGACACAUCUCUAAGCUAAGAAGAUAAAAUUCAUUUCUUAGACAUUAUGGUCAAUAAACAAAAUGAUCAAUAAAAGAGCACAAUAUUAAGGACCAUGGAAGUAAGUUCAGUUGUGUGUUUUAAAUACAGGAAGGCCUUUUUAUUGAUUUGUUUAGAGCAAAGGGGUGUUAACGAUGCUUGGAUGUUAACCGCAGUUCUAUUGCACUUUAUGUUUUAGACUGCUAUGCAGCAGCUAAAUAAAAGCUAGAAUUGAUUUUUAUGCUAACUCCAAGCUUGUGUUUCUGAAGUAUUAUAGCAUGCAUUAAGCAUUCAAUUUAUGUCUUGCAGCUUACCAAAAAUACAAAUGUAGCCUAUUUAUAUUAAAUAAACCUCUUAUAGGAUCUAUCCCUCUCUUGCUUUUUCUCACUCACCCAACUAAAUAGAAAAUGUGUUUGUUGUAUGGUUGCAGUUUCCUUUGCAGUUUUUCUUUGCCAGCUGGAAUGGAACAUGGUCGAGGAGCGAGAUUUCCUCCCCUCCCCUUUUGUUCAAGGUGAAUUAUGAAGUAGAAGAGCUGCUUCUACUCUCAUUCUUACUCUUCCAUAACUCAAUUUGAUUCCAGUGAAAUGAUUCACAAUUUUUACUGGUUGAAAUAGCUACCUUCUUUUUCAUUGCAGGGAACUAUAAGAGGGGUGGGAAGACUUCAGGCUUGUGGGAUCUCCUUCUUCCCUUCCCUUCCCCUCCACUCCUCCUUUUUCCUCUUGAAUUUUAUUCUUCAAUGGGAGCCAGGUAGGGAUGGAGGAAUCUUCCAGUUUCUGUUUCUCUCUGUUUAUUUGUUUUCUGAAUCUUAAGCUUAGUUCUCUGUAUUUUCACAUCAGUUUGCAAUUUUUCUAAAAAAGUGUCCUCAUGAAAAUUCAUCAGUUUCCUCUCCUAAUAUACAAUCAUAUUUAUGCCCAAUUUUGCCCAAUGCAGGUAUCUGCCCCCUUACAUGGGGGUUACGUUUUGGGGCCCCACAUGCAUUAGAGCAAUCCUAUAGAAGUCAUGUAGCUGUUAAUAUGAAAACACCACCAUGUCAAAGAGCCACCACAAUGGCUUUCAUUGCUAUUGACACACAGCCACCUCAAGUUUGUCUCUAAGCACACCCUACAGGACUAGAAAAUGAAUAUAAAAUUCUUUGUCCUAAUUAGCAUCAUCAACUGGCCAAUAAGGCCAGCUGGUCUUGAUUGCAUGCACCGCCGUUUAAUACGAUUGUCAGUAGUGGCCCACCACACAAUGACAAGCAAAUGUGAAGUUGGGCAAAACAGUGUGACAUCACUGACAAAAACCACAUGUCACAAAAACCAGUAGGAAUCCAUAACAGUGUGGACAAAGAAAAAAAAAGGAAAGCAGCAGCCGAAGUUAGCAAAAUCAAAGCAUGCGAGUCUAGUUAGUUUCUUGUUUUGUUGCAACUACUUUAAAUUUUUACUCACUACUGUUUAUGCACGUAUUAUGAAAACCAUUUAUAAAUACUGGAAUUGGUAUUCAAUGUCAAAAUAACACUCAUUUGGAUCCCAGUUACAUAAGGCACCUCACAGUGAUUUCAGCUUCUUAUGUCUCUUCUGGACAAGGAAGGGUAUUGUGACCUGGUAGCGGCAGAGUUUUCAGCCCUGGUGGUAUGAAAAAGAGCUCCAAUUUCCCAGGACCCGAGGCACAAUCUAAGUACAAUUUUGAAUAAUGGAGUCUUGAUAUUUGCGUACAAUUUCAUGCAGGGAACAGAGCCUUAUUUGCAGUUAUGUCUCUGUUAGAGAAUCACAACCACUGCAAUGCUAGGGGCAGCUGCUUUGCUCUUCUGUCUUCCCAGUGCUGUGUGCCACUGCUGGUUACCAAGGAGGAGAGGGGUAAGGAAGCAGGGAGCUCAGCAGUGCAGGCGCAGCCUCGGAAGCACUGGAUUGACCCUUCUGGGGUGCUUACACUGCGCUGAGCUCUUAGCUGCCUUGCCCCUCCCCAGGGCCGGAUUUAGGUUUGAUGAGGCCCUAAGCUACUGUAGGUAACGGGGCCCUUUAUAUGUCCAGCUGUCCUUUGUCAACAACAAAUUAUCACAAGUUUUUUGUGUUGAAUAUAUGCUAUAUGGUCAUUUAUGGACCUAAUAGGUAUCUAAAGCCAUUUGAACAUAACAAAAUAUGUAUUUUAUCAAAGUAAUUGUUGAACUGAAAUACAAUUAGGAAGUAGUAUAUUUAUAGUAAAAAAAUUUGGCGGGGCCCAAGAGAGUGGGGCCCUAAGCUAUAGCUUGUUUAGCUUAUACAGUGGUACCUUGGUUUGCAACCGUUUUGGAUUACAACCAUGUUAAACCCUGAAGUGUGUGUCCCCCCCUUUUUUUGGAUUGCAACCCAUUUUUAUUUUAUUUUUUUGGGUUACAACCAAUUUUUUGGGGGGAGGGGAGGCCUCAUUGGCAAAAGCGUGCCUUGGUUUACAACCUGUUUUGGUCUACAACCGGACCUCUGGAACAGAUUAUGGUUGUAAACCAAGGUAUCACUGUACGUAAAUCCAGCACUGCCCCUCCCCCUCUAAGCAACUAGCAGCAGCUCAUGGCGCUGGGAAGACUGGAGAGCAACAAAGCUCCACCCACUCAAACCACCAUUAAAAAUACACUCCCUAUGUGUUCAGGUUUCCAAAACACACAGAGUCCUUAUGUUUAUACCACUUUUGGCCCCUAAGGACCCUUCUAUAUGCAGAGCAGCUAGCUAAAGGAGGGCCAGGGGCCAGGCCAGUAGAGGGUAGUAAAGUUGGGAGCAAUUCCACCCCCUCUUCCCUCAAUACAUUUACUCCUCUCAUUGCCACUAGCCAUGAUAGCUAUGCUCCACCUCCACAGGUGGAGACACCAGUGCUUCUGAAUACCAGUACAGUGGUGCCUCGCAAGACGAAAUUAAUUCGUUCUGCGAGUUUUUUCGUCUUGCGAAUUUUUCGUCUUGCGAAGCACGGUUUCCCAUAGGAAUGCAUUGAAAAUCAAAAAAGGCUACCACACCUCAAAAACCUCAAAAAAGGCUACCACACCGCGUGCUAUGAGUUGCUCCUCGAAGUCAAGUCGCAACUGCACCUCUUCAAGCAAUGCACCCUGGGUACAGUAUUAACGGUUUUAAGAAAAAGGAAACAAACUUGCAAGACGUUUUCGUCUUGCGAAGCAAGCCCAUAGGGAAAUUCGUCUUGUGAAGCAACUCAAAAAACGAAAAACUCUUUUGUCUUGCGAGUUUUUCAUCUUGCGAGGCAUUCGUCUUGCGAGGUACCACUGUGAUACUGUGUCCAGUUCUGGGUGCCACAGUUUAAGAAGGAGAUUGACAAGAACGUGUGCGGAGGAGGGUGACCAAGAUGAUCAAGGGUCUGGAAACCAUGCCUUAUGAGGAACGGUUGAAGGAGCUGAGUAUGUUUAGUCUGCUUAAGGCUGAGCAGAGAUAUGAUAGCCAUCUUCAAAUAUCUAAAGGGCUGUCAUGUGGAAGAUGGAGCAGGCUUGUUUUCUUCUGCUCUGGAGGGUAGGAUUCGAAUCAGUGGCUUCAAGCUACAAGGAAGGUGAUUCUGACUAAACACCAGGAAUAACUUUCUGAUAGUAAGAGCUGUUUGACAGUGGAAUGGACUUCCUUGGAAUAUGGUGGACACUCCUUCCCUGGAGGUUUUUAAGCAGAGGUUGGAUGGCCAUCUGUCAUGGAUGCUUUAGUUGAGAUACCUGCAUUGCAGGGGGUUGGACUAGAUGACCCUCGGGGUCUCUUCCAACUCUACAACUCCACAAUGCUACGAUUCUGUGCUGGAGGGGACCACAGGAGGGGAGAAUGCUCUUGUGAUUGGGUCCUGCUUGCGGUUUCCCCCAGGUAACUUGUUGGCCCCUGUGAGUACAAGAUGGGUCCCUAGAUUGGCCUGAUCCAGCAGACUCUGCUUACAUUCUUCAGCAUGGUGGCAAUUCCUAAAAGGAUUGUGCUGGGCUUCCACCCCUCUGUUCUUCUUUCCAUCCAUCCCAUCUCUGCCUCUUUCAUGGGGAUGGAGAGAACUGAGAACAUAAACAACUGAGGGGGGAGAGAGAGAGAGAGAGAGAGAGAGAGAGAGAGAGAGAAGGGAAGAACGAAGAAAACCAGGAGACCUUUCAAUUUUCUUCCCCUACAUAAACCAUCAUAGCAGAAGUUUACCGGCUUGCCUGAGUUAUGUCAGAACUAUUCAAUAAAGGGAAAUGAAACAAAGACUAAUAAUCUCCAUUAGGCUGUAUAAAUCAGAAAAGCCAUCUAGCUCGCUCCGAGGAUUUACUCAGUGAGCUACCUGAACUGAAUGUAAUGUAUGAUCCGGUUCCUCAUAUAUUUGAGAAUUCUAGUCAGCUUGUUCACCAUUGUUGCUCUUAACCUGCCUGGACUGGGUGUGGCCUGAGGGACCUGAAUCUCUGCCACAGGCUGAUCUUCCUCACUGAUGCUGCUAGAGUGCCACAGGGAAGGUAAAGCAAAGGAACAGGUGUGUUGCAAAGGGGCUGAUGCAAUGAAGGGAGGGAAAGCUUUCCCUUUCUUUAAGUUUAAACUCACAGAAAGUUUAAUGUGUUCUCGGCUCCUGCUUAGCCCUCUGGUGAAUCGUUCUGUAAAAAUGGCACCUUGGUGUUGCAUAUAUAUUGUCCCUAUAUGACUUUCCUGGCAUAUUUAUUCAGUUUACUAGUCAAAGCUAGUUUCAUGGUACACUAAGCCCAGCAGGGUCAACACCUAAGCUAUGAAAAUCAAGCUGUCUCUUUUCUCUCUGCUUCAUACAUCAUCAUCAGCCCAAGCCAGAUAAUGGAAAGCAAGGAUUCUGACCCGGAAUGAUGAUUAUUGCUUCUGCUUUCAAAAUGCAGGAGGCAGGAUGAGUUGAAAUAAAAUGAAAUAAAAUCCAGUGUUGUUUUCCUUGCCCCAAAAUUAGCUAUGCAAAAGGCAUGGGUUGUAGCAUGGAGGUGGAAUUCCAGGUCUGGGGGCCAAAUGUGGCCCUCUAGGCCUCUGUAUCAGCCCCUGAAACUCACUCCAGACUGCAACCCCUCCCUUGCCACACCUCCUCUCUCCAGACCACCACCCCCACCAAUCCUACUUUGCAUCCUCCUUGAGUGUUUUGGCAUAGCUGGGUAGCUCCAUUGGUAGAACAGGAGACUCUUAAUUUCAGAGUCAUGAGUUUGAGCCCCACAUUGGGCAAAAGAUUCUUGCAUUGCAGGGGAUUGGAUGAGAUGAUCUCGGCGGUCCCUUCUGUGGUGAUCACACAGGGUCCCUGGACAUUUAAUGGUCUAUUGAUCCCUGUCCCACCACUGUGCUCGCUUCCCCGCUGCCACCAACCAGUUAUUCUGAGUCCAGAAAAGUGAGCCAAAAAACCCCAAGUUUAUUUUACAAACAUUAACAAGUUUAUGUUUUCCCCCGAUAAUAUUCCUGUCAGUACCUUAACUUUAGUUUCUUUACCGGCCUAUACCUUCCUAAUACCUUCUGACUGAUUAGCUCAACUGUUUGACUGACUCCUCUUAACAAAUUCUCUCACUCUCUCACCCUAGACUAGCCCAACCCACAGACUUAUCGUAUCUGUCUCUUCUAACUCCAGACUGUCUUCUCAACCACCCUAACUCUAACUCUCUCCCCCCCCCAAAAAACCUCUGUGCUUAAACCUUAUACAGUGGUACCUCUGGUUACGUACUUAAUUUGUUCCAGAGGUCCGUUCUUAACCUGAAACUGUUCUUAACCUGAAGCACCACUUUGGCUAAUGGGGCUGCCGUGCCGCCGCCGCUGCCCGAUUUCUGUUCUCAUACUGAAGCAAAGUUCUUAACCCGAGGUACUAUUUCUGGGUUAGCGGAGUCUGUAACCCAAAGCGUAUGUAACCCGAGGUACCACUGUACACAGUUAACUCUGCCCCCUGGGUUCCCAUUGGUAAGUUAUUUUACAAUUCGUUAACCCUUUCCCUAUGAACCCAGUAUUAUGUCACACACCUGGGAGGGCAAACGCCACACCUUCCAACUCUACAAUUCUAUGAUUCUAUGAAAUACAUCUUUGAACUUUGAUAAUAUGGUUUCUGCUUGCCAGAACAGAAGACAGAGAGGUGUGUAUGUGUAGAAACUAGCCAACUAUGCUAAGGUAACAUUUACAUUCAUCCCUCCACCUGCUUUUGCCUCUGCCGUCCCCCACCUCCAAUGGCAUGUGGUUGUUCAGAAUGGAAUGCAGCCCUCAGGCUGAAAACAGCUAUCUGUUUCUACAUUAUAGGGCCAUUGUGCUAGGUGAUGUAGUGAAGCUCUCCAGUGAGAAGAAUAUGAAGGUUAGGAAGAAGACACCUUAGACUGCAAGGCGAACUUCCUCCUGCUCCUGUUCAGUAACAGUACUACUGCCACUCCUCACAGUGGUGGCAGAAGGUAGGCAGAGCCUGCCUGAUCCAGGCCUGUUCACCGCACCAGCUCAAAGCUGGCACAGAGAAUGGCCAAUAUCAGGUUUGAUGUUUGCCAGCACUGGCUGUGAGAGACAGAGAGCAUUGAGUGGAUCCCAGACCCGCUCAGUCCAACCUUGGAAAACCACAUUUUAGGACUGUCUGCUGGGCUUGUUCAGUGGGUGGAAGUGGGAGCUCUGUGCCAGUGGAGGAGAGAUGGAAGCAUCACCAUUGUCAGAUAGCGGGUGGCCAGCUGAGUUGGCAGAAGCAAGCAGAGGGAUGUCUCCAUUCAAUCCAAACCUCCACGGUCUGCUAUAAGAAUGUGUGUGUGUGUGUGUGUGUGUGUGUGUGUGUGGAUUGCAGCCUUAGUUUGGAAUUAUAUGAAAGCAAAAGCGUGAGAUUGAAUGGGGAACCAAGAUUUGAGGAGCCUGGCUGGAAACAAGAAAGCUUUGUGAAAUCACCAAGCAAAGGUCAUGGAAGAAGUGGUGAAGUGUGCAAAUAUGGGGGUGUUACCAAAGAUUGCACUUCCUUGGUUGAAUGAGGAACCUCAGCAACUCAUCAUGUUUGACUUCAAUAUAAGUUGGUAGAUAGUUCUUGCAAUGAGUCAGCGGUCAUGGUGCUUGUUGGCCCAAGGAUAUGGGGGAAUGUGCUUAUGACAUCCUAGAAGCUCAGGGCUGCUUGUAGGCAUCUGGUUGGCCGCUGUGAAACCAGGAUGCUAGGCUAGAUAGGCUAUAGGCCUGAACCAGCAGACUCAUCUUAUGCUCUUAUUUUCUUAAACAUUACACACACUCCAUCUGAGCUCUUCUUCAGCUUGGAUUUUACAGUAGCAGCAGCAGCAGCAGCAGCAGCAACAGCAACAGCAACAGCAACAGCAACAGCAACAGCAACAGCAACAGCAACAACAAUUUUAUUUUAUUAUGUGAGAAAGUGAAAGACUAUGGAAAAUGAGCGAGGUCCCAACUAAAGAAGAAUGGCAACUUAGACUAAUGGAAUAUGCGCAGCUUGCGGACCUAACAUAUGGAAUAAGAGAACAAGAAGAACAUACGUUUAAAGAAGAUUGGAAAAUGUAUAUUGAAUAUAUGGGGGGAAAUUGUGUACACUUGAAAAUGUUGGCAGCAUUAAGAUAAAUUCAGCAGUGUAAAUAUGUUUUGAUGGAUGUAAUAAUGGAAUACUGAAUGGUUUAGUUUAUGUAAAUAUGCAGGGAUUUAUGUUAUGCAAAAUGAACCACGGAAAGAGAAGAAGGGGGGGGUCAUUGAUAUUUUAAGGUUCUUUAAAUGAAUAUUCUAAAAUGUAAAACAGAAAAUAUAUUAAAAAAUUAGGGGGGGGGGAUGAAAGACUAUUUAACUAUCCCAGCUGCCAGCACCUUUGGUACUGCAUUUGGUAUAGCAAAAUUUAAAAUUUAGGUAAACAGGAUAUUUCAAAUCUUAUUGGCACUGUAUAUAAUUUCCUGCCAAAAUGUCCAUCAAGAGUGGAUAAAUACUAUUAUUUCUUCUCAUUUAUAAUAUAAUCCACUUUUUUUUUUUACCAUCUCCCUUAUAUUUGAUAUGUCUCAGUCCACCUCCAGAGCUGAUUUGGGGGGGGGGGGGAGAAGAGAGGAAGACAAAGUUCUAUUGCAUAGGCAGAAGUACUUGCACUAAUGGGACAACUUUGUUGGCUACAACCCCAAGCGCUACACAUGGAAUACACUAACCCGUGUUAUGCCUGUGCACACAAGCACAUUAGCAUAUCUGCUGCCAGCAUUUUUAUUUUGAUCCCGUGCAGAACAAAACCAGGAAGAAAGCUGCUAUGCAACAAAGGGAGGGUCCUCCAUGUGAGUGUGCUUACCAUGAAACCUGAAAUUUGUGAUAACUAUGGGUAACUCAGAUGACCCAUUAGCCACUUGCCCAACCUGACCUUGAGAAUAAAAGAUCAACAAUAUGUAAAUUGCCCUUUGCUCUCUCUAUGUUCAAAGUGCCCAACCCUAAACCACGAUGAACAUUUCACCUAAAGCUGUUUGGCACGAUAGAUCAGCUCAUUCUGCACCUUGCUUUCCCCCAUGUUUUGCUGGGUAAUGCCAUUAAAAUGCUAAAAAUGUAAUUAAGAGCCCAACUGAAUAUUAUGUGGCAUGUUGAGUAGUGCCUCCAGCUUCCUACAGCCUCUUGCUUAAUAUGCUUCCCUUGCUGAAAAGCACAUCUCCUAAAAGCUUCAUUGCAAAUUUUCCAUUUUCGCUUAUUGUUAUGUUUAGCAUGCAAUUGGCAAUCGGCACCUGCAUUUGAAUGGAACUCAGCGUGGCCUCCGCUAUUGAUUAAUUUGUGCUAAUUAAAAACAGCAGUGAUUCUGCGGAAAAAGAAAUAUGUGUAAGUGUCAAUAAAUUACAGGAAAUUUCUUAGAUUAAAGUUGGCCAAUUUCUGCUCGAAAAUAACUAAACAAAUGUUAAUGGCCUUUCCCAAGGAGCUGGAUGCAUCCACAGGGAUUCUGGAAAGGCUGCAAAACCAUUUGUCAAAGCCUCUUAUUGAGUUAUGUAGGGCAAGUUCAUGCCAGCUUUUUUUUCCUCCCUAAGAUACAUCCCAGGAAAACUGGUGCUUUUCACAGGAAAUCUGAAGUACAGUCACUCAUUAGUACUCUCCUCAUGGGCUCAAUGCUUGAAUAUAUAUUUGGUGGCUUCUCAAUUUCAGGUAUUUCAAAAAGAUCCAGAUUAUGAAGAUCCAUUUCAUUCUGGUUUCAGGCCCAGUUUUGGUAUGGAAACAGUCUAGUUCUUUGCCAGGAAGUAAACCGGAGGAAUGGUUUUGUUGGUUCUGCAUAGUAGCUUUCAGUAGCUUUGAUCAUUGUUUCAUCUUUGACUUCCUGGCCAGCACAGGACUUGAGGACACUGUCCUACAGUGGAUCUGGUCCUUCCUGGAGGGAGAAACCUUGGAAGGUAGCAGGGCUUUUGUCCAGCAGGAACUCACUGGAUCUCAGUUCUGGCACCUCUCAGGUGGGCACCACUGACAUAAUAAGAGAAGAAGGGAGGCGUUCAUGGUGAGUUCGGGUACCUAUUUUCCUAGAAAAAUAGCACUGAAAGGUGGCAUUAGAGACUCUUGUUCAUCAUCAUAGCCAUUGGCUUGCGGUACCUGUCAGGGUUCUAUUCUGUUCCCCAUACAUCUAUGUAAAACUGCUGGAGAAGGCCAUCGGGGAAUGUAGAGUGGAGCUCUAUCUCUCCUUCAGUUGCAGUCCAAGGGCCCAGGGUAUGUGCACAGUACCACCUGAACUGAGUAGCUCAGCAACAUUCAUGGUAAGUCAAGCUGCUUCUCUGGGAAUAGGAAUUUGUCCUGUUUAGGAUAAGGUUAAACUCCAUGGGUUUUGACACUAUUACUGGAUGCUCAGUUGGCCAGAUGUGCCUUUGCCCAGAGUGCAGAUGUGGUCAGGGUAUCACAUGUCUUAUUAGGACUACUGCAAUGUGCUGCAUGCCUUUGAAAAGUGGCUGCAAACUUCCGUUGGCCCAGAGUGCAGAAGCGAGGUUAUUCACUGAAGUUGCCUUUUGGGAUCAUGUACCUUCACUGUUGAAACAGCUGCAGCGGAGUCUGACUUGUUUCCAGGCUCAAUAAAAAGUGCUAAUGAUGACCUUUUUACAGCCCUUUAUGGCUUGGGACCAAGUUAUCCGAAGAACUGCCUUCUACUGCAUAAACCUGCCUGCUUAAAACAAAUGCUUUACAAAUUAUACGAAAGUCCUGCUCACAAUCUCAGCAGCACAGGACACCUUGAAAGCGAGAUUCUAGCCUGGCUGCACUUCCUGAUUUGACCAUGUCGCCAUGCAACUUCUUUCCAGGAACACUUUCCAGGCUAGAAUCCCACUGCAAGUACAAAUGGGGCACUGUAAAUCUGGUUAAAGUGUGGGUGGGUGGGAAUCUCUCAAUCACUUAAUUACAGUCAUAAAGAAACACAAGCGCACACACCAGUCCCUCAAAACAUCCUUUUAAUGCAAAGUUAUGCAGCUGCACCUGCUGCCCUUUUCUGACGCAUACCGCCAAUGUGGCCAUGCAGUAGUUCUUCUUCUGCCUCUGAUGCUGUGUCAAUAGCAGCACCAGUCACCACCAGACCCUUGGGCAACUGGGAUGGGGGCAGUGCUACUUUUGAAGGAGAGUCUUGCUUAGCUCCUGUCCACAGUGGCUGCCCACCUUUUGAAUUUACCUAAAAUGCAGUGCUCCAGCCUACAUAUCUGUGAAAUCUACAGUAUAGGCUAGAACAUCACAUUUCUGAUAAAUUAAGAUGGCUGCCAGACACUGUGGAUGGGAGCUGGGCCUGGCUCCCCUUCAAAAUCAACACUGCUGCCUGCAUCACUCCUAAAUGGUCAUCCAGGGGCCUGCAGCAUAGCUGGAUGGGUCUGGCAAGGAGCCCUUCUGAGUCCCUGAGAGUUUGGGCAAGUGCCUGACGUCUGGGCUUGGAGGACAGGAAGUGGAUAGCUGCCAGAGAAGGGCUGGCGUUUGGGUCCUUUGAGUACUGAAAGCCCCCUUGAGACUUUUUUGAGCUGUCACCAUUAACACCUGCAAAUGCAUUUUUGGGACGAGCACAAGGCUCUUCACCCAUCUCUGAACAAUUGCAGGGGAGUUAUCCUCUCCCAAAAAACCCCUUUAUCAACUCAAUACAGCUCACCUGCCCUACCAGUGAAGUUUCAACUGAGAGAUAAAAAAUGAUGCAUGAAAAUGGGUGUAGAGGGGUUACCCUGCACAGCGCAUGGGAGUGAACACCAAAAGGUAAUAGGGGAGGGGAAAUGAUGUGGGUUUAGGUGGGACAGCAGGGGUGGUGGUGGAAGAAAUUGAAAGCACAUAAACAUAGAAGAAUAUGAAAUGGUCUAAGACGGUCUUCAGAUGCAGAUAUGUAUAUAAUCCAUAUUUGAAGUUUCCUUCCGCCUUAGUUAUUACAGACAGCUGGGGAAGGGGGAGGGGUGGCAGGGGGCUGCUUUGAAAAACGUUUCACCCCUGUGUCCCUUUCACUGAUUAUAUUUCAAAGCCUUUUCAGAGAGGGAGGAGGGGAGGACAAGUGAUGUGCAAAGACUAAAAAGCCAAGAUCAGCAGUAAUUCUGUUGGCACAGUAUUUCAUUGGCUGUUGGCAAUCGCCGCUCUGUUGCCUUGUCUCGGAGAGUAAGGAAUUAAUGAUCGCAUUUCCAAUCAUUGACUGCUGUAUAUCAGAUACUUGGCGGCUUCUCCUCUGACUCAGUGAGGCUGUCACCAUCUAGAAAGAUUAGAUUUAAAGAAUAGCCAGAUGUAACACUGGGGCCAUGGGAGAAAGAACCAGAAACGGUUCAAUGCAAGGGGUAGAACUGUGCUGCUUUAACUGUGCUGCUUUCUUGCCAAAGCUCCAGUCCCAAUACGAUCUACUCAGAAGCAAAUCCCAUUGACUCAGUGUGAUAUACAUCCAAGUGAAAAUGGGUAGGACUGGGUUGAAGGAAAUGAAAGUGAUUAUAUUGUUCUUUUUGUGUGUAUUGCAUCAUCUCUCAAAACACACAAUGCCCUUGGUCCUCUGAUCUGCAUAGAGACACAGGCAGGCCCACACAGCCAGUGUGGACACAUCUAUGUCACAGUGCUCACCUAGACCUAAGGAUAGUUCAUGUUUAAAGGCAGCUGGAUAGCUCAGUUGGUUAGAGCAUGGUGCUGAUAAUGCCAAGGUUGCAGGUUACAGAGGGUUGGACUUAGAUGGUCCUCAGGGUCCUUCCAACUUUACAAUUCUAUGAUUCUACCUGAUUCACACUUUCCAAAACUCAGGGAUUCCAGCACAUACCAUAAAGCGAGGUUUGCAUAAUGAAAGUAGGUUGAAGCGCUCUGUUGCUCUAGCUAGCACAAUAAUUUCACUUUCAUUUUUGCAGUUAGGAAAGUGAGGAGAAAAUGCACUGAAAGAGCUGAGCUGAAUGGAUGGUCAUUGGGAAAGCAUAUGAACCCAACAAGCAAAUCAGGAUAAAGUCUCACUGUUGUAUAACUGCCCCUGCAAACAAAUCUGAAAUAAUGCUCAAUAAAGACUGGACACAGUCUAACCUCCAUGUAGGCAGAACAGAAGAAGAAGAAGAGUUUGGAUUUGAUAUCCUGCUUUAUCACUACCCGAAGGAGUCUCAAAGCGGCUAACAUUCUCCUUUCCCUUCCUACAAACACUCUGUGAGGUGAGUGGGGCUGAGAGACUUCAGAGAAGUGUGACUGGCUCAAGGUCACCCAGCAGCUGCAUGUGGAGGAGCAGAGAUGCGAACCCGGUUCCCCAGAUUACGAGUCUACUGCUCUUAACCACUACACCACACUGGCUGAAUGCUGGCCGUCACACUCACAUUCUUUGUACAUGCUCCUGAAUUAGUGGCAUUGCCUCAGUACUACUGUCUAUACACAUACAGUGGAACCUCAGUUUUCGAAGACGGUUCGACUUCCAAAACGUUUGAAAACCAAGGCGUAAAGGGCUGUUGGCAAAUUCAAUUGAGAAUAUGGAAAAACAUGCAGUGGAAGCUGUUCAACUUCUGAGGUCCAUUUGAAAAUGGAAGCAUUUACCUACUUCUGGGUUUUCGGCUCGGCAUUUGGGUUCUGAAACGUUCGGCUUCCGAGACGCUCAAAAACUGAGGUUCCACUGUAUCAGCUUGUAUAAAUAUAUAUGGUCUAUGUUAGUGUGGGGACAUGUUGACAAGAAAGAGAGACAGAAAUCCUUUAUGUGUCAGUCUUGGGCUCCUAGCACAGACCAUGAUGCUGCUGGCAUCUUUUUCUGUGUGAAGGAGAAGCCAAUUUGAGCUCCCCAGUUGCUGUCAGCGGCUGCUGUUUCUACCAUUCUGUUUCUUUUCUACUAUUACUGUAAUUACCGAAACCCAAUUAGUGCAACACUUAAUAAUGAUAUAAAAACCUUGAUAGUUCAGGGAGUGGCCUCCAAAAAAACCUAUACAGGACGAGUAAACCAAAUUGCUUGGUAAUUAUUGAUGUGAAUGGCAUCGUAAGCAGUAGGAUUCUUCGGUUUGUGACAAUACUGUUAGCUGAUUUUCGAGUGGGAGGAACAAAUCCCCAGGAAAGAGAAGUGUUACGAUACCUGACACACUGCCUGAGAAUAUAAUACACAGGCUUUGCCGCAAAGCGAUCUAUUUAUGUCACUUAUUGCAGGGUUCAGUGUCAUGUCUGUAUUUCAGCCCUUGCGCAGUGCAAAGCAUCAUGGGAAGAACAAGGGCUUAAAAUGUCAGCUUAGCAUUAAAGGCCUGAACUUCCCGGCAUUAGAAUCAGGUGACCAAGAGGAAAUCCGAUCCAGGACAUAGUAUCCAUCUCCUCAGAGGUAUGCGCCAGAUCAAAAAGAAUUGUUAUAGGCUUCUAUUUUUCAUUAGGUCAGACAGUAGCCGUUCCCUGAUUCCUUGGUCACACUAGUUAUCUGUCCAGGAAUGGAAAGCAUAAAUCACUUUUUUUUAAAAAAGUGUGGUUUUAUUAGUACAUUGAUCUAUAAGUUCAUAUAUAAUUUCUGGAUCAGGCCAGUGGCCCAUCUAGUCCAGCACCCUGUUCCCAAAGUUUUCAGCCAGAUGCCUAUAGGAAGUCCAUUUAUACAAUGGUGCCUCGCAAGACGAAAUUAAUCCGUUCCGCGAGUCUCUUCGUCUAGCAGUUUUUUCGUCUUGCGAAGCAACCCUAUUAGCGGCUUAGCGGCUUAGCGCUAUUAGCGGUUUAGCGGCUAUUAAAGGCUUAGUGGCUUAGUGGCUUAGCGGCUUAGCAGCUAAAAGGCUAUUAGCGGCUUAGAAAAAGGGGGGGGGAAGCGAGAAAAAAUCUCAAGACUCGCAAGACAUUUUCGUCUUGCGAAGCAAGCCCAUAGGGAAAUUCGUCCUGCGAAGCGCAUCGAAAAACAGAAAACCCUUUCGUCUAGCGGGUUUUUCGUCUUGCGAGGCAUUCGUCUUGUGGGGCACCGCUGUAUAUUGGUAACAUUUUAUGUCAACUUAUUAUUAAUAUUUGCACUUAUGGGAGUUUUAAAAUGAAUAUUAUAGAUAGUUAGCUGCAAAUCUCUUGAAGGUUUUAUGUUUAUAAAUUUUAAAUCUUAAAAACGCAUAUGCUAAAUAAAAAUAACUUUUUCUAACAGCACCCCCAGACUGUUGUGGCCAAAAUGGGGUCAUUGAGUAGGCUUGCCAUACGUCCAGAAAAUUCUGGACAUACCAGGAAAUCGGAUGCCAAAAAUGGCGUCCUGGGGGGAAAUUUUGAAUUUUAAGAGAUGUCCAGAAUUUCCCAUAUGUAUGGCAACCCGGGUUUCUUCGGUUUUCUUUCCCGCUGAGUAGCAGAAGAAUUGUCCCCCCUCCUUACGUGGGAGACCCAAAGUGUGCUCGUGCCCCCUGCCUUCCUACACACUGCAUUGUUUCCAUUUUCAAUUAUUGUGAUGUUGUGAAGCCUAUAAUGCACCACAGCAGCUAGCAACCUUGAGCCUGAAAGGAGGGGCCUUUAGUACUUAGCAUAGUUACCCAUGAAAGAAAUACAGCUCAAUCCUAUGCACGUCCACUACGAAGCAAUUCCUGUUCAGUGGGAGAUCAGUGGCAGACACAGCCAUCUUCUGGAAUUCACAUUUAUUCAAAUUUCGCAAUGCUGUUCUCCAACCGAGCAAUGUGUACAAAGAUGCAUAUACAAAAAUGUGCAUUAAAAUUAAUAUAUUGGUGAGAAAAACACACGCAUGUGCAUUAUAUUAAGGGAAAUGGCAAAAUGUAUAUACAAUAAAAGUCAAAAAUGCAUACAAAAUGUAUAUAUUAGGAGAAAUUCAUGAUGAAUUUUCAUGAGGGCUUUUUUUAAUGGCACAAGUUAAUUGGGAAAUGUGGAGAAACAGAGUGGAAAAACGAGAAACGGAGAGAACCCAAAAUUGACAGACUUGCCCAUCAGUAGCAGCAGGGUCACAAGAGUUAGUAUAAGAAGUUCCAUAAAAGAAUAGUGUCCUUCACGAUUACUCCCAUAGGAAUGUUAUACUCACUCACAACAAUAAUAUUUUAAAAACCACAGAAUGGGAGAGACAUGCAAGCAGAACAAAGGCAGUUCCAUUUUGCACAACCUGCCGGCUGUCCUUUAUUACCAUCUCAUCUGGAUUCAUAUCAGGAAUGAGAACAUCUCUAACAAAAAGCAGCAAAUAUUAGUUGUUAAAUAUGAAAUGUUAAGCUCUUAUUGGCUGGAGUGGAUUUCAAGGUUCAUUUGAGUGACCUCCACAGGGUGAAAUAAUGGGCUACAGACAAAACAAUGGCUCAGCAGCAGUAGGUAAGAAGGAUAAUGCACAGACUUGUAUCUUAACUUGCAUCUAAUUUGCCUUUCACAAACUACAUUGACUUCAAGGCCAUUGACUCGCUUUGACUUUACAGAGGCACAGGGUGGUUUCUAUGGCUCCAUUUCCAAAGUCUCCUGAGAGAGGAAGCUCAGAAGAGAAUAUGAAUUAUUCACAAUGGAAUAGCACAGAAAUACAUAACCUUUUACUAAAGGAUCAGAUUCAGGACCAAUGGGAUGCUGAGUGGUUAAUUUAGGCUACAGACUCACAAGAGUCAUUUGAAGUAGGCCUCAUUGAAAGCACUGAAUAUAAAGGCAUACCAUUUUAUUCUGGUUUCAGUAAUCUAUAAAAAAUAACACCCUCUCACAACCACUAACAUGAUUUCCACUCCAUACAUAGAAAGGUUGGGGAGGCUCCAUGUGUGAAUAUGAAGCGGUGAUGAUUUUGCCUAAGAUAUAUACUUGUGGAUAUUAAUUUAGUGGUUUUGUGGAACUUUGAAUUGCUAUUGAGAUGUCCUUCCAGCUGUGAGGAAGCCACCCAUUGAUCAAGUGCUUUUUCAUGGUGGGAAGAAGGUUUCAAUGGCCUAACCGCCUGAUCCAUGAAACCUUAUCGUGAUUAAACUAGCAGCCCUUACCCCAGACCCUCCAGGUGUCCCUUUUUCCAGGGACAUCCCUGAUUUAGAGAAGCCGUCCUGCUUUCUGAUUUGAUCCUGGAAUGUCCCACUUUCCCUUAGGAUGUCCCUAUUUCCAUUGGAGAAAUUUUGGGUGAUAUGGAGUUCUCUAACCCCCAAGCUAUCUGAAGGCAAUCCUGUAUAGGGAACAGUUUGGUUUUUUUAAAAAAAUUGUUUAAUGUUUUAAUGUGACGCGGGUGGCACUUUGGUUUAAACCACUGAGCCUAGGGCUUGCCGAUUGGAAGGUUGGCGGUUCAAAUCCCUGUGACGGGUUGAGCUCCCAUUGCUCAGUCCCAGCUGCUGCCAAUCUAGCCAUUCAAAAGCACAUCAAAGUGCAAGUAGAUAAAUAGGUACCACUCUGACGGGAAGGUAAAUGGCAUUUCCGUGUGCUGUUCUGGUUUUGCCAGAAGUGGCUUAGUCAUGCUGACCAAAUGAGCCAGAAAAACUGUCUGCAGACAAAUAUCGGCUCCCUCGGCAAGUAAAGCGAGAUGAGCGCCGCAACCCCAGAGUCAUUCAUGACUGGACUUAACUGUCAGGGGUCCUUUACCUUUACCUUUAAAAGUUUUAAUACAGUCAUACCUCAUGUUACGUUUGCUUCAGGUUGCGUGUUUUCAGGUUGCGUCCCGCGGUGACCUGGAAGUAAUGGAACGGGUUACUUCCGGGUUUCGCUGCUCGCGCAUGUGCAGACGUGCAAAAUGACGUCACACGCAUGCACAGAAAUGGCGAAUCGUGACCUGCGUGUGCGCAGACACGGGUUGCGUUCUUUUCAGGUUGUGAACGGGCCUCCGGAACAGAUCCCGUUCGCAACAAGAGGUACCACUGUAUAUGUUGGAAGCUGCCCUGAGUGGCUAGGGCAACCCAGUAAGAUGUGUGGGGUAUAAAUGUUAAAAUUAUCAUUAUGGAAUGGGACAUCCUUAUUUUCAUUGGAAAAAUGUUGGAAGGUAAUGUCUGAUAUUUUAUCACUUUUUUAUUACUAUCAUUAAUUCUGUUGGGAGCCACCCAGAGUGGCUGGGGAAACCCAGCCAGAUGGGCGGGGUAUAAAUAAUAAAUUAUUAUUAUUACUCCUGGCAUGGAGCCAUAUCUGUAAGAAAGACCCACAAAAUCAGUCUCCACCCAUACGUUUGGGUCAUUUAAAUGUUCUCCCCACCCCACAAUGAUGUUUCUGAAUAGAAGUAUGCCUAGUCAGUGUUUCAGCACUAAAUUUGUAAUUUUCAUAAUAGGCUUGUUUUCCCCCUCCAUGUUACACAAAAGAGGAAAGCACAGUUAUUGGGUACUUGAGUUUGGGGGCUGCCAAAUACCUGGAGUAGGCAAGGCCUUCCUUAACCUCAGGGAUUGCCACUUGUCUGGGAGCCACUGGUGGAGGAAGAGGAGUGCGGGGGGGAGCGCAACACCUCCGGCAGCAUGAUCCCAGUGGGGUGCCAUUGCAGCUGCCCCCCUGCCCGCGCUGGGCACCACGCCCCCGUAUGUGGUGUGCCACGCCCCAGGAUGCGUGCCACUUCCCUGCGAGUGACACACCAUGCCCCCAGAACCCACACCAUGCCCCUGUGGGCAGCACGUCACACCCCCGGGAUGUGCGCCAGCCCCGCCCCCACCUGCUCUCCGCCUCCCGGUACUGGAGCAUGAAGCUCCGCCACUACCAGGAGCUUUAAAGUCAGGAGACGCACAGGAUUGGCUCUCUGGAGUCACCUGAUUCUGAGGACCCACUCAACUGGCUUAUGUUUCAUCCUCCAACCAGUGGUCCUAAAGCUGAGGAAACAGGAUGUCCUCAUUGCCUCAUGAGUUUCUCCUUUCUUCUCCCUCUAGCAUCCUCCUCCUCCCCUUUCAGCAUAAUCCAGACCUACUCAGUCAGGGCACUUUCAUGCAACUCAUACCUUUUUAAACAACCUCCGCACCUCAGAAACCCAGCCCACUAAACAUUUUCUAUUUCAAAACAGAUUUCAUCUUCCAUAGAAAGUAAUACUGCCUCCAGUCAUGUGUAACUUAUUUUUUAUCCAACGGAGUAUAUGGGCUUAUAACUAGAUCCUGAUAGGAACCCGGGUUUAAAACAUUAUUCACAGCAGGUUAUUUGAUCUUUAUUUGCUGAACGCACUCAGCUGAAUCCCUAUCUCCAAACAAUAUGAGAAAUAAAAUGCCAGGCAUGCUUCAUUGGCCAGCUAGCUCAUCUUGAUUUGCAGAGACGAUUACAUCCCUCUCAGCAGUUUCACACACAGGCCACAUUCCAGGAGCCAAGGUACUGCUCCUUAUUCCUCUGCUCGCAAAGCCCUGCCCGGAGGCAAAAGGAACACAGUGGAUCACAAAUGGCAAUGAAUGAUGCCUCUCAAAAGUGGGUGGGUGCUACCAGUAUUGCCCCCCUCUGCCCCCCUUCCUUCCUUCAGCACCACCCACCCAGGGAUCCUCCUACCUGCUUGACGCCACUAUUCUGGAAGCUCCUUUUAUCAGUCAUGGUAGCUAAAAAUGAUAGCUAAAAAUGGCCUCUUCGUAUCUGAGUGGAAGUGUACUUCUGAAUACCAGAUGCUGAGGACAUUUCCCUGGUGAAGUUGCUCUCAUGCUGACUAGGGCCCCACCUGCAAUAUACAUGUAAAGCAUACUGUUUUAAACAAUCACUUUCCUUAAUAUACAAACCCCAACCAGUGUGGUGUAGUGGUUAAGAGCGGUAGUCUCGUAAUCUGGGGAACCGGGUUUGCGUCUCCGCUCCUCCACAUUCAGCUGCUGGGUGACCUUGGGCUAGUCACACUUCCCUGAAGUCUCUCAGCCCCACUCACCUCACAGAGUGUUUGUUGUGGGGGAGGAAGGGAAAGAAUGUUAGCCGCUUUGAGACUCCUUCGGGUAGUGAUAAAGCGGGAUAUCAAAUGCAAACUCUUCUUCUCUUCUUCUUCUGCAAAAUCAAAACCCAUUUAUCAACCAAUUGCAAAACAUUAUUUCCCUUUCUGCCAUUUUCGUUUCUUCCUUCAUGACCUUCUUUCCUUCACAAAACCCCAGUCCUCUUUUCCUCUUGCCCCACAUCAGAGACACAAGAUAAACAUACAGCAAGCAAGCAGGCAAACAAAUUCUGUGAAGCAGGGGUGGAAAAACUGUGGCCCUCCAGAUGCUGUGGGACUACAACUCCCAUCAUCCCAUAUCAUUCACCAUGCCGGCUAACCACAUCUGAAGGGCCACUGGUGGGAUUCAAUGGCAUGUCAGCAAAUUCAGGUUGUACACUUAAAGUGGAUCUGGAUCUCUUGAGCAGAAAUGCACAUACACACUUUUUACAUUUUACAGCAAGGAAAGUGACAGGAAAAUGCACCGGGAAAAUGUAGGAUAACACUUUCUUGACACAAUGUUGUAUAACCUCUACACAAACAGAUCAGAAUGAAUGCUUAAAAUCCAACCUGCAUCACAGAACUUCCCCACAAACUGAGAGCCAGUGUGGUGUAGUGGUUAAGAGUGGUGGACUCGUAAUCUGGUGAACUGGGUUUACUUCCCCGCUCUUCCACAUGCAGCUACUGGGUAACCUUGGGCUAGUCACACUGAGAAGUCUCUCAGCCUCACUCACCUCACAGAGUGUUUGUUGUGGGGGAGGAAAGGAAAGGAGAUUGUUAGUCACUUUGAGACUCCUUAAGGGGAGUGAAAGGCGGGAUAUCAAGUCCAAACUCCUCCUCCUCCUCCUCUUCUUCUUCUUCUUCUUCUUCUUCUUCUUCUUCUUCUUCUGCAAGCAGAUCAGCUCAAUAAUCAUGUUGUCUGGAAGUGACCUUAGCUUCCAAGUGCUAUCUUGAAGGCAAAAAAGAAACAAUGACAUCACCAUCACCACCAUUCCAUAAAAAUAAAUAUCUAUUGAUUUUCUUUACUGGGGUUGUUGUUUUUUUACCUGUGGAAUGGCAGUUUGGUGUGCUGUUAGUCUUAUUGAAGGAGUCACAUGUGUUCAGAAUAAUUUGUGUGUGUGGAGAGAGAGACAGGGGCUGUAGGGGAAGAAGGAAGUGCCUGUUUUGAGAAGCAGUAAGGGGAAUUGCCCUAGGGAGGUAUAUUAGCUCCAACCAUGGGGAAUUUUUGACUUGACAGGUGUGGGUGUAGACCCUGAAAUGGCAUGCUCCUGAGAAAUCUGUACGAUCUGAUUUUUCUGAGUCAGACGUAAGGGAAAGUCAAGUUGGACAAAUUUGGUUGUCACACCAUGACAAACCUUGGACAGAUUUGGUUGUCACACCAUGAGGUGUCUUGUGCUGGGAAUUUAAUUCUGCUGCUGAUCUUUAAUUUUUAUUUUUUAAAUUUUUUUUAAGGAAAUCUGGUUUUGGCAUUUUCAUUUGAUUUCCUCUCUUCUGACCCCAGGGGAACCUCUUUCCACAAAGUAAUUGCAGGGUGAUUUAACACAGGAAUGUUCAUCAACUGAUGAUUACAACGCAAGGUGAGAUGACUGACAGAUGUGAAACUGUAUAACAGAUCAAACACCACAGAGAGGGUUCAACUUCGUACCACAAGCCUGCAACCUGAACAGCCCUCUUCACAUGUGCAGGGCAUCUCUUGAUUGAGCUCCUGAUGCAGCGUCCAUGGGGUUGCAUUCUCUCACUCCUCUCCAACCUCUGUGCAUUCAGCUGACAGUGCGGUGGAGGCCCUGCACCCUUAAAAAGAAAUAUUAUUACAACUUUCUUUGUGUUUUAUGCUGUUUCUAACAGCCGAUGUUUUAAAAUGUGUCUCUUAUUGCUUAGGGUUUUUAAAAAGGCAAGGCUGUUCUGUUUCAUUAUUUUUAUAAGUGGCCUUGAAGUAGGUAUGACAAUGCAGGGUUUAACUAUUAUAAAUGUAUCAAUGCAUAUAUGCACAUGAGUUCCUUUCACACUGUCAGCUGAAUACAUGGAGAUCAGGGACAGCAGGGCCACAUAUUCAAGGAGCAAUGAGGACUAAUAUGUUUCAGUGGCAGAUAUUUGUGUGUUCAGUUGCACGACAGAAAGGGGUAUACAGUGGUGCCUCGCAAGGCGAAAUUAAUUCGUUCCGCGAGUUUUUUCGUCUAGCGAAUUUUUCAUCUUGCGAAGCACGAAAUCCCAUAGGAAUGCAUUGAAAUUCAAUUAAUGCGUUCCUAUGGUCAAAAAAAGUCCAAACAAAGCCAAAUUUGGUACAACAAGAGUUUAUUAAGUGCUCUUUAAAGUCACACAUACUGUAAAGAGCAUUUCAAAAAUUGAAGGAACAAUAAAUUAAGUUUCUAAACAUGACAGGAAAAACAUUUAAAAAUCAACAAAGUGUAAAUUACAUUUUCUAAGACUCUGGGGGACCACUCGAAGAAGGUUCCUCUUCCACUCUUUGCUUCUUGCUUAAGAACCUGUCCAUGGUCUGCUGCUUCAUCCGCCUUUUCAGCACCUCCCUGAAAGGUGACAUGACCGUUGUAUCAAAAGUGUUCGCAAGGUCACGUGCCACGUGCUUGUUAGGGUGGUUCCGCUCUGCAAAAGCCUGCACAUCCUUCCACUUCAUGCAAAUGUCCCUCAGUUCUUUGGAGGACAGCCGUUCCUCAGUUGCUUCCUCCUCUUCCAGCGAGGCCUGCUCCUGCGCAGCCUCUGCCUGCAGUUCGACCAGCUCCUGGGUGGUCAGCUCGUGGUCGUGCUCCUCCACCAGCUCGCUGACGUCCUCCUCUGUGACCUCCAGGCCCAUGGUCCUCCCCAAGGCAACAAUGUCCUGCACCACUGUUGACUCUGGUGCAUCAGAGUCACUUGGUGCCACACAGUCCGGCCACAGGCUGCGCCAAGCGCAAUUCAAAUUUCUCUGGCUGAUCCCGUUCCAGGCCGUGGUGAUCAUCUUCAAGCAGGUGACGAUGUCGAAGUGGUCCUUCCAGAAUUCCCGCAGGGUGAUGGUGGUGCAAUCAGUCACCUCGAAGCAUCGCCUGAAAAGCUCCUUGGUGUAGAGUUUUUGAAAUUGGCGAUGACCUGCUGAUCCAUCGGCUGGAGCAGUGGCGUGGUGUUAGGCGGCAGGAACAUGAUGUUGAUGAAGCUGAACUCCUCCAACAAGUCCUCCUCAAGGCCUUUAGGAUGAGCAGGAGCAUUGUCCAUCAGAAGCAAAGCCUUCAGCGGCAGGUCGUUGUCCAGCAGGUACUGUUUGACAGCAGGGCCAAAAGCAAGAUUGACCCAGUCCACAAACAGCACACGUGUGACCCAAGCCUUACUGUUGGAUCGCCACAUGACACUCAGCUGCUCCUUGUCGACCUUGUGUUUCUUGAAGGCCCGUGGGUUCUCCGAGUGGUACACCAGCAGGGGCUUGAUCUUCAGGUCGCCGCUUGCAUUGGCACAGAAGAGCAGGGUCAGACGGUCCUUCAUGGGCUUGUGGCCAGGCAACUUGGCCUCCUCCUGAGUGAUGAAAGUCCUUUUGGGCAUCCUCUUCCAAAACAGCCCGGUCUCGUCGCAGUUGAAGACCUGCUGUGGACGUAGCCCUCCGUCUUCACAACCUCCAGGAACUCCAAGGCAAAGUCUUCAGCCGCAGGAACAUCAGAACUGGCAGCCUCUCCAUGCCUGACCACGCUGUGGAUUCCAGAUCUCGUCUUGAACCGGUCAAACCAGCCUCUGCUUGCCUUGAAGACUUCUGGCUCGCCUGAGGUUCCUGGCUGUUCCCGGAUGAGGUCUGCGUGCAAGGCCUUGGCCUUCUCACAAAUCACGGCCUCAGUCACUGUGUCCCCUGCACGCUGCUUCUCUUCUAACCAGAUGAGGAGCAACUUCUCGACCUCCUCCAGAACAGCUGGGCGGUUCUUCACGAUCCUGGUGACUCCCUUGGCUGCAUCAGUCGCAAGGAUCUUCUCCCUCAUCUUCAGGAUGGUGCCGAUGGUCGAUGGGUUCCUGCCGUACUCCCUGGCGAGGUCUGUCACACGCAUUCCACCGUCGUGCUUCCGGAUGAUCUCCUUCUUCAUUUCCAGCGUCACCUUCUCCUUCUUCCUCUCGCCGGCCUCUGCAGCAGCAGUCUUCUUGGGUCCCAUGGCAGCACAGCUCCUAGCUUCGUAAACUCAGAAAAAGAAAAAAAAAAUCAGUGAUUCACACCCAAAAAAUUCAAAAGCACCCAGCCACCCACCACACAGGAAUUCAAACCCAGAACCAAGUCCUUGAAUUCCAAGCACCCAACCCAAAAUCCAAAAACCCCCCAAAAAGUUUUAAAAGUUUAACUUACGAAAUGGCUGCAAAUCACCAAAGUCUUCAAAAUCCUCAAAUGGCUGCAAAAGAAGUUUUGGAAAAGCUUUAAAAAUCACCAAAGUCUUCAAAAACCUCAACUGUUCCCCCAGCCACCCACCCAGCACACAGAAAUUGCAAACCCCUCCCCAACUGUUGCAAACCCCUCCCCAACUGUUGCAAACCCCUCCCCAACUGUUGCAAACCCCUCCCCAACUGUUCCCCCAGCCACCCACCACACAGAAAUUCAAACUCAGAAUUUUUUUUUGAAAAAAAACAACAUGGCCCAAUGGUCACAGAAAAUCAUAAAAAUUCAAAAAAACCCACACAAGCUCCCAGAUUCUUGCAAACCCCUCCUCAACUGUUCCCCCAGCCACCCACCACACAGAAAUUCAAACCCAGAUUUUUUUAAAAAAAAAACAGCAGAGUGGCCCAAUGGUCACAAAAAAUCAUAAAAAUGCAGAAAAAACCACACAAGCACCCAAAUUAUUGCAAACCUCUCCCCAACACCAAGUCCUUGAAUUCCAAACACCCCCACCCAACCUCCAAAACCCCCCCACAAAGUUUUCAAAGUUUAACUUACCAAACGGCUGCAAAAGAAGUUUUGGAAAAGCUUCAAAAAUCAGCAAAGUCCUCAAAAACCUCAGAAAAGGCUACCACACCGCGUGCAAUGUGUUGCUCCUCGAAGUCAAGUAGCAACUGCACCUCUUCAAGCAAUGCACACUGUAUUACUGUAACGGUUUUAAGAAAAAGGAAACAAACUUGCAAGACGUUUUCGUCUUGCGAAGCAAGCCCAUAGGGAAAUUCGUCUUGCGAAGCAGCUCAAAAAAACAGAAAACCCUUUCGUCUAGCGAGUUUUCCGUCUUGCGAGGCAUUCGUCUUGCGGGACACCACUGUAUUAUCAGAUGAUAUACAGCCACCUGCUUUCCACGCAGAAGGUCCCAGCUACAAGGCUGUCUGAAAUCACAGACAGCCGCUGCCAAUCAGUGUAGACAAUACUGGGCGAGAUGGACAAAUGGCCUGCCUCAGUAUAAGGCAGUUUCUUGUGUUCCUGCAUACGUGAAGUAGCCCUUUCUGGUGGGAAUGUUGGCGGAGACAGGUGCUAGAAGAGUAAAGAAGGGGUAAAUUGGUAUAAAGUACCGCACAAUUAUUUUAAAUAAAAAAUUAAAAUGUGGAGCAAACCAACCCUUUCCUGACAGAUUUUAGCACUUCUCGUAGCCAAGUAUAAAAAAGCCGAGGAUUGCUGCCGAAGACAGCUAAAACGGACCUUCUUGGCCACAUCCUUCGUGCUGGUUUUCCCACAAUUCAUUUCAGCACUCGAUCAUCCAAUCCUUAGAAAACCUUACAGACAAGUAAACCUGGCAUCGCUUACAUCCGCAGUCUAAAACGCACACACUUGGAGGGAGGCUGUCAUUCGUUUGUUUUGUUUGUACGCUGAAAAAUCUCCGGCUGAAACUUUUAUUUUCCUAGAAGCUUCCAGAAUUCUCUUCAGGAGUUUACUUAGCCGUAGGCAGCUGUCAGUUAUUUGUUUCUUGUUGGCGUCUAAGCCAGUGGACCCCCUGCUUAGUUGGUGACAGACCCCUCCUGGUUUGUGAAGCCUGUUUGGGAAGACAAGCUGUCAUCUAAAUUGUGUAGGAAUGGGUGUAGGGAGGGGUGGAAGGAGAGGGGAGAAGAUGGAGUAGAUCACCUCACUUCUCAGAAGGCUGAGGUGUUGAGAGCGCAGUGCUGCCCAGGGAAAUGCUGUCAAUCAGGUUUAGGCUACACAUGGCUUGCUUUUGUGGCGCGGCAAAAACUCAAAGGUCUAGGAACAUAUAUGCAUAAUUAGGUGCCCAACACUUGCACAGCUAGCACCAUGGUGUUUUAUUUUAUUAAAGAAGACUGAAAAUGGAAAUAAAUAAAAUGGUUACAGUUUGAAAACAUUCAAGUGGCAGUAACAAGUAUGGAGGAGACAAAAGGUGCUUCUAGACUGUCCCUUUUUGGGGUGGGAUCCCAUAAUAUACUGGCAAAUUCAGGAUGUGCCUAUGAAGCUGAUUUGGUGUUCUUGCAUGACAAACCUGCUCCCCUCCCAAGACACCCUCCCAUAAUUUUGGCAAUAAGGAUAGUGAAAUACACUGGAAGGUGUGGGAUAGCAAUCACUUAACAACAAGGUCUUCUAGCCUCCUCACAGUCAAAUAAGAAUGGAUGCUCAGUUAAUAGCAGUCAUCCUCUAACCUUACCACAAAUUUUGUGCAAACAAAUCAGGAUGAAUAAUUAAUAAAUAGCCAUCAUCCAAAAAAACCACACAAAAACCUUUGGGCAAUCAAUCAAUCAGAAUUCUCAAGAAACAGAGCAUCUGGAAGGGACCAGACAGAAAAGGGCUGGGAAGCCAAGAUCACGAGUAAAGAAAUAGGCAGAUUCCAGGUGCAUAUUGAAGUCUAUUGCAGGAAAGAUUAAAGAGGGGAGGGAGCCUUCAACAAAUGCUAAGAAAAUAAGCUCAGCACAUUUGAGGUGUAAAUGCUUCCUUCUUCAGGGUUAAUCAUACAAAACAAGUAUAUCAUAAACAGUAAUUCAGAGAUCUUAAAGAUAUGCAUUUUAACUUUGACAACUUAGAUUUGCCUCACUCUCGACACUUUUCAGGAUUCUCAUUAUGCAUCCCCCCCCCUCGCUUUAGAAGUUGGUGAAUAGGUUUGAUUUCAUAAAUAAGUAUUUUAACAUUCUCUAGUAAUAUCCAUAUUGACUGUUUAGGGUGUUCUAGACAUUCAUAAUCCAAGGUGUGAAAGUUAAAUGAGGCAGCUCACAAGGUAUUAUAUCACAAGGUAUGUGUUGGUUUUAUUUAUUCUCACAAUAAUCUUUAAGAUCUUUGUAGGGAAGAUAAAAUAUUAAUACUAAUAAUAACCAGGGCUGUUGUCAAUCUGUCUGGGGAGAAAGUGCUUUUCCUAACCCCAAAAUGAGGAUCAGUUAGAUCAUGAUUAUGAGCAAAGCUUAUUCACCAUGACAUACCAAGGGAGGAAGGAGUGGAUCUUAGUGUAUUGACAGUCUAGUAAAAGUUCAAUAUGUAACACUGACUGUUGCUGUCAUCAAGCUUUUAUUAAUAUUUCAACAUAAAGUUUAUUAUGGGAACUGGAAAGUGUUUUGAAAAUCUCUAACAAAACUGGCAUGUACAGUCAUACCUCGGGUUGAAGUUGCUUCAGGUUGAGUGCUUUCGGGUUGCGCUCCACAGUGACCCGGAUGUAACGGAACACGUUACUUCCGGGUUUUGCUGCCUGCGCAUGCGCAGACGGUCAAAAUGACAUCACACGCAUGCGCGGAAGUGGCGAAUUGCAACCUGUGCAUGCGCAGACAUGCGGAUGUGGGUUGCGUCCGCUUCAGGAUGCAGACAGGGCUCUGGAACGAAUCCCGUUCAUAUCCAGAGGUACCACUGUAGUCAUUAUUUUCGGGUAACUGGUAAACCUGAACUAAACCAUUUCAAAUUGCAGGAAAGUAGAUACAAAUGAAGAGGGGCAGUGCAGCGCAGUCUUUAGCAUAUGUGCCACUGGGGUGCAAAGAUCCGCCCAGCACCCCCAAAUUUAGUUUAGCCCCCAAAUUAACUUUCAUUAUGCUUAUGUCAGACACCACACUUAUGCUUUAUCUCUUGUUUACGAAAGAAGGGAGGAAAAAGAAACAAACUUUUUUAUUUGCUCAUUUAUUUACAAUACACUUAUACUUAAGUAUACAGUACCACCACACUUAAACUUAUAAGUAUUGUUUAGGCACCUACUUAGGAGAAACAUCCAUUAUGUCAAAGGUGCCACUGACCCCGCUGCCGCAUAGCAAUGCAGCUCAAUACAACACGCAACCUAAUAUUUAGAUGUAAGAGUUAAUUUCGCUUGCAUGGCGCCUUUGAGAAUGACAAGCGCCGUCAUUGAGUCAAGCACCGCCGCUGGCAUGGCGUGCCUUUGGUAAAUGAGCACACAAAGUCAAAAGUCCUUUAGUGAAACAGUAGGUAUACAUUUCUGUAAUACCUAGGUAUAUAUGUAUUUUGUUUUUCUAGCUUGAUCAAAAUUAUUUCUUAUUUCAUAACAGGUAGAUAGUUAAGAGCUUAGGCGGAUUCAGCGGCGGGCACCUGGCACCUCCCAGAAUUUGGUACUUGGGUGCCCCACACCCCUUGCAACCCCGGAUAAAGACCGCGCUGGGGCGCUGUCUGCCUUUUUAUUAUCCCCCCACCAUGCUAGUUUUCCAUUUGCAUGGAUGCAUGCAUACAUAUUUAUAUAGAAGAGCAUUCAGACAAAUGAACCCCCUGCCCCACCUCCGCAGGGUGAAGUGAAACACAUUUGGCAUUUCAGGUGGCCUAGCAGAGAACUGGACCCAGAUCUUGUCUGUCAAACUAGACUGUGAGUUUCCUGAGCAGGGUGCUUGUCCUUUCUUCCUACUAUGCAGCAAAAGCACAUGAAAGUGUACUAGGAGUUGACAUUCAAUUCUGCCCACUGUUACGUUGCAUUGAAUGUACAACUAGCAUUUCACAAGUUGAUAUUUGCUCCGUCUCCCUCCUUGCAGGCUAUUCAAGAUUGGCGAGUAAUGGAAGCUUUUUGUUAGCACUGUUCUCAUGCUAGAGCAAAAUCCCUACCCCCAGUGGCAACUCCUGUUAUACACACACAGACAAAUGCACACACACACACACACACACACACACACACACAUGUGUGGCCUUUGGAAAGGUGCCAUAAUGGGACUCAACACGUUGCCAUUACGACCAGCAGCCAUUCAUUCUCUCUGCUGGGUACAGUCUGCACUGCCACCCAGAGAGAGAGAAAGAGGGAGGGACACAGAAAGAGAGAGAGAGAAUGUGAGUGGUCUUUGGUCUUGUCACUGCUCAGCACUUCUGUGUUUUAAGAGAGCAAGUGAACAGGAAGUAACAACAAGGAGCAAGAAAUCCAGAGGGCUUGGGGGGUGUCAAAAGUGGGGCGGCUUCUGGGGUGUUGCCCAGUGAUGCCAAACCCUUGAUGUUGGCCCUAUCCACUCCAACCAAGGUGGGGUUAUCCCUUCUCCUUGCUUCAGGAGAAGGUAGAGAUGAUAAAUUUACGUCAGGGAUGAGGAACCUUUGCUGUUCCAGUUGUUGGCUGGACAGCAGCUCCCAUCAUUCCUGACCAUUGGGCCUGCUCGCUGGGGCAAGUGAGGGCUAGAGUUCAACAGUAUUUGGAGGGCCACAGGUUCCCCUGAUUCCCUUAUUUUUAGGAAGGAGCACUGGAGAGGGCAACUGCGCAAGCCAUCCAAAGAGUAGGGAAAAGGGAGUAAACUGUUUUCAAAUGGGCAGGCAUUCAAAAUGGAGCAGGUUGGCAGAGGAGGAGAUAGUGAUGGGCUUGUUGCUUCACAUGCCAUCCAAUAGCUGCCUGAAUUACCUUUCUCACUAUAAAGGAUGAGGCGGAAGUCUCAUUUAUUUGGCGCCAGAGCUGAUCAUUUUCCGGCAACAAUGACUAGCCUUCUGCUAGUAUGAAGAAGAAGAGUUUGGAUUGGAUAUCCCGCUUUAUCACUAUCCGAAGGAGUCUCAAAGAGGCUAACAUUCUCCUUUCCCUUCCUCCCCCACAACAAACACUCUGUGAGGUGAGUGAGGCUGAGAGACUUCAAAGAAGUGUGACUGGCCCAAGGUCACCCAGCAGCUGCAUGUGGAGUAGCGGAGACGCGAACCCGGUUCCCCAGAUUACGAGUCUAUUGCUCUUAACCACCACACCACACCGGCUCUCAAGCCAAAUUAUUCCCUCUGUAAUGGAAACACUGCUUGAUGGAGCAUGUCAGAUUGUGUAGUCUUCCAAGGAUAACCACAACAUAUUGAAAACCAUCUCUCUUCACUUGCUCUUACUCAUAUGUGAGCAUGGGUGAUGUAAGAGCAAGUGUUGGUACUCAGCACUAGGACCCUUCACACCUUCUGUCUACCAGGUUUGUUUACCUCGACAAUGCCUAUGUCGAUUAAAAAGGAAAUAAAAGCAAAGCAAAAGCACACCAGAAGCCUGAAACAGAUUAUUUCCCCAGCACAAACUCCAUCGGUGUGCAGUAAGGAGAAUGAGUGCAGUUCCAGUGACAGCGCUGAUAAGGGUGUUAACAGGCGCAUUAACUAGGAAAGGCCAGUCAAAACAGCGCAUAUAAAACCACACCCAGGCUGCCCUUUAAAUGUGCUGUGACAUGGAGUGGAAGAUUUGAAAGCAUAUUUCUGGGUAAUUAAUUCAAGGAGUGAUUCUAAUGGCUAACGCUGUCAUUUGUGACUGUGAGGUCUGGGGCUGGAGCAAUCAGUGAAGGGGAAAGGAAAGUGCUUGGAGGUCAGAAGUGGAUGUUAAAAUAUUUUGACAACCCACAUCCAAAAGGCUGGCUUAAUGAAAUGCGUUGGCCAGCAACUUCCAAGAGGGCUGAAAUAGAAUCUAUUCAUUUCUCUCCAGUAUGCCACUCAGUAGCUAUUGGCUUGAACGCUGGACUGGCCAUUAAUCACCAUGGCCCAUCUGUUGAAUGAAGCCAUCCAUCAAACUCAAUGGCCAGCAAUCUACAUUCUGCGUCCCAGCCAACCAGCAUUAGGAGGGAGCUGGCCUCACUUUAAAACAAUACCAAAAAAGGUCAUAGAGUGGGCACAUGGGAGUGGACCUCAACAUCAACUCUACCUCCCUUUCCCACUCAAAGCCAGAAGGCCCAGAGGAGAAUACCCCUUACCCAAACCUUUGACGUUGCAAUUACACCUCCUGGGCACUUUCUGAUGGAGAAUUUACACAGAAAUAGACAUUCAACAGAAUGUCUUCUCACCAGCACAGUAGUAAAUAACAUCUCCCAAUUUCAGCCACUUACCAUUUACCAAAAAAAGCUUCUAUGGUGGGAUAUGAAAUAUCUGGGAUUUUACAUGUGGGGUACAAAAAGACUGUCCCAGUCAAAGUAACAUAUUGAGUUGUUGUUGUUGUUUUAACCUAACCAAUAAAAACUGCCCCAACACCACAAGUCCUGCAAGAAUGAAGUUUUGGUAGGCAUGGGAAAAGAAGGGGUGCUCAUACAGAUUGUCCAAAAGGUUCCUUGGCCAAAGGUAUCCCCAUAUUCUUAGUAACUGAUUCUCCCACACGCCAAUUAGGACACUUUCCCCCCUUCCCCUAGCCAAUGUUAAUGCACUAGAGUAAAACAUGCCCCAUCACAUUUUCCAAACAAAAACUGAUCCAGGGAAUUAGACAUCUUCUAACACCAUAUCUUCUAUUUGGUUUAGGGCCAUUUUAGUACCCAAGAAACAUUGGAAUUUUGUUUGGGUUAGAAAAGCACCCCUAAAAAAAAUUAUUAAUGGCUCCAGGUUACUGGUAGCUGCUAAAAACCUAGGGCUAAGCAGAUCGGCAGGUCUUUGUGAAACCACCAAGAUGUUAUGGCAACAAAGGCACACAGUUUAAAUCUUAACAUCUGCAGUAUAUAUAGAGGAUCAGAUCUCAGAAUAAUUUCUUCCUUUGGAUUCUCUCCCCCCCCACUCACUCACUUUUGUUAGGAACAUCAAUGCUGUUACACACUGUAAUCACAAGCAGUUUCUAAAUUGUUAUUAAAGAUGUACUGUAUUACAGUGGUACCUCAGGUUAAGAACUUAAUUCGUUCCGGAGGUCCGUUCUUAACCUGAAACUGUUCUUAACCUGAAGCACCAUUUUAGCUAAUGGGGCCUCCCGCUGCCGCCGCGCCGCCAGAGCAUGAUUUCUGUUCUCAUCCUGAAGCAAAGUUCUUAACCCGAGGUACUAUUUCUGGGUUAGCGGAGUCUGUAACCUGAAGCGUCUGUAACCCGAGGUACAUACUUACCGAGUCCAUGCGAUAGUGAACUUGAAAUGGAGUUGGGCAGGGUAUGGAUUGCAUGCAAGUUUGACGGCUUCUGAAUCCAUUGUGUCAUUUGCCGAGAUCUAUAGUAUAGUAGAUGAAAGUUUCCAAAACACAGCGCACUGAUAAAUAGGGCAGAACACUCUUCAUUUCCUGUUUCGAAGUCUUUGAAUACUAUUGUGGGGAAACAAAGAACUGUUGCUGUAGUCUGUCUCAUUUCACCUGAGUGAUGGAUGGCUUGAUUUCACCCACAGAGGGGGAAAGUGAUCCAUGCACAUGUGUAAUUAUCAGGAAGAGACGACAUGACCAGCACUGUCACUAUAUGUAAAUGAUCCGUAGAUAGAGUCAAGUAACUCAGAAGUUUCAAAAAUCUAAAAAGGUGAUGCACACUUUUGGAAAUAUAUACCUUAAAACCAUGCUUGACAACUUAAUGUCUCUAGCGUUAAGUGUCCCCUGAGAUAUCCUAUCUAUAUAUAUCUAUAUAUCUAUAGAGAUAGAGAUAGAUAUCACAUGAAAAUGUGCAUUACACUGCAGGUGCUAUUGCAAGCCUAAUUAGCAUCCAGCCCAAGAUAGGAUAAUAAGGUGGCUUGGGAGUCCCUAGACUUUCUAAAUGAAUUGAAGUUUUCAUUGCCUGACAAACUGCCUCCUACGGUACUAAAGGAACUUGAAGAUGUGAUCCCAGAGCCUCUGCCUGAAUUUUUGCAAGCUCUCGGAGAAUGGGGGAAGGGCUAUCAGACUGGAAGCAGGCAAAUGUUGCCUGCUUCUAGGACUAGGCAACCACUGACAGGUCAGCCUAACAUUGGUAGUAGUAGUAGUAGUAGUAGUAGUAAUAAUAAUAAUAAUAAUAAUAAUAAUAAUUUAUUAUUUAUACCCCAUCUAUCUGGCUGGCACAUUGAAAGGUUCUAGAACACAGGUUGCCAAACUGUGCUCCAUGGUUGAUGAGCCUCCUUCAGGGCUCCUUUAAUGGGGGUCCAUGGCAUGCUCCCCAUUAAAUAUUCCUAUUGAUUUUUUAAAUUGUUAUUGCUUCUUUUAUUGCUUCACGUGGUAUUCUACUGUAUGACAGUUUGAAUUUGCAGACUCGAGGCAGCUCAGAAAGCCGACUCUGCCCAAACAAACUUGACAAUUGCACGGCCUUAUUUAUUUAUUUAUUUCGCGAGAAGGCAAAAUAUACAUAAAAACAAUCUGUCUCCGCAAACACAUUUUCCCGUCAGCUGUUCUCCAGCAAAGCCAAAGAGAUGAAUGUGUGGAAUAUACAUGUACAAUUAAGCCUUUGCUCGCCCAGUCUAACAUAUCCCUCCUGGAACGUGCCGUGUGUGUGUGUGUGGAAUCAAUAAGGAAUAUUCCCUGGUCAGCAGCGGUCGUCAAUCCCCUUUUUGCAAUCCGUAAAUAUAAUCUCGCCUUCCUCCGCCCCCGACCUCUGCCGCCACCCCCACCCCAGCCCCAGCCAAAGGACAGAGUCGACAGAUGCGUCCCUUUUAGUCCCUUCAGAGCGUUUGACAACCCCCCCCUCCUCAUGUGAUAAUAAUGGAGCUGACUGUACUGUCAGGGGUGUGCCAGAGCUUUAUGCCUGGCUGACCCAGAGUGCUGGGCUGCUCUCCCUUCAUGCUCGGCUGCCUUUCAACUCCGUGCAGAGGUUGCCUCAAGCAGCUCUCUUGCCAGCCCCCUUGAUAUUUUGGACACAGAGUUCUGAAUGAGCAAUAAGUCGGCAGCCUCUGUGGGUAGAACUGUUCUACCCCCCCCUUCUUCUUUCUUUUUUCUUGGGCUAACAAAAAUACGGAGGAAUGAGUGGAUAAGUGGGACCACGGAAGGUGUCAAUGGAAGGGCAGGUGUGCGCAAUUAUAGAACUGUAGGGACCACAAUAGUCAUCCAGGCUUUGUUGUUGUUUAGUCGUUUAGUCGUGUCCGACUCUUUGUGACCCCAUGGACCAGAGCACGCCAGGCACUCCUGUCUUCCACUGCCUCCCGCAGCUUGGUCAAACUCAUGCUGGUAGCUUCGAGAACAUUAUCCAACCAUCUCGUCCUCUGUCGUCCCCUUCUCCUUUUGCCCUCCAUCUUUCCCAACAUCAGGGGCUUUUCCAGGGAGUCUUCUCUUCUCAUGAGGUGGCCAAAGUAUUGGAGCCUCAGCUUCACAAUCUGUCCUUCCAGUGAGCAGUCAGGGCUGAUUUCCUUAAGAAUGGAUCGGUUUGAUCUUCUUGCAGUCCAUGGGACUCUCAAGAGUCUCCUCCAACACCAUAAUUCAAAAGCAUCAAUUUUUCGGAGAUCAGCCUUCUUUGUGGUCCAGCUCUCACUUCCAUACAUCACUACUGGGAAAACCAUAGCUUUUACUAUACGGACCUAUCCCCCUGCAAUGCAGGAAUCAGGGGGGGGGAGAGACUCGAACCCACAACCCUGAGAUUAAGAGUCUCAACUGAGCUAUCCCUGUAGGAGGCACAUGGAUGGUUAGGAUUCAUGAAAGCUGGACUUGCCCAGCUCUGUUUUGCUUCUUUUGCAGAGAGAUCCUCUCAGAGCACUUCUCUGUUAUUGCACAUGACACUUGCCCUCCUAUGGAAACAAAAUGCAAAGAGGAAGCUGCCUUAUACCAAAUCAGGCCACUGGUCCAUCUAGCCCAGUGUAGACAACUACACUGACUGGCAGUGGCUCUUCAUGGGUUCAAAUGUGGGUUCUCUCCUAUCUCUACCCAGAGAUGCCGAGGGUUGAAACUACAAGCUUCUGCAUGCGAAGCAGAUAACCUGCCACUGAGCUACCCUGCUGGUAGGCACUCAGACAGUGGUUCAUUUCAGGGCCAAUCCCCAGAAAACAUGCAAAGUUUCCACUGGACUGUCUAACCAUCAGCUUCGGCCGAUGGCCCAGCUACGGCCCUAUCUGGACAGGGAUAGCCUAACUACUGUUGUCUAUGCCUUGGUAACCUCACGGUUAGAUUACUGCAAUGCGUUAUAUGUAGGGCUGCCUCUGGAGACGGCUCAGAAACUUGAGCUAGUGCAGAAUUCAGCGCCAGGUUGUUCAACGGAGCAAGACAGUUUGAGCAUAUUACACCGAUCCUGGUCCGACUGCACUGGCUACCAGUUAGUUUCCGGGCUCAGGACUGCAAUACCUCAAGGACCGCCACUUUCCAUAUGAACCUACCUGGACCCUGAGGUCAUCUUCUGAGGCCCUUCUUUGUGUGCCUUCUCCUCGAGAGGUCUGGAGGGUGGCAACAGACCUUCUUUGCAGUGGCUCCCCAUCUGGGGAAUACUCUCUCCAGGGAAGUUUGCCUGGCACCUUCAUUAUACACCGUUAGGUGCCAGGCAAAAAUGUUCCUUUUUAACCAGGCCUUUGGUUGAUCUGAUUGACAUCCUAUGCCCUUUUAAAAUGUGGCUCUUUUGGGGGGGAUGUUAUUGAGUUGUUUUUAUUUUGAUUAUAUAUAUUGUGGUUUUUACGUUGAUCUUUUCUGUGAACUGCCCUGAGACUUCUGGGUAUAGGGUGCAAUAUAAAUUCAAUAAAUAAUAAUAAUAGUAGUAAAUAUUAACCCAGCAAGGUAAAGCAACACUUUGGAGUGGCAGCAGAUCUCCAGAGCAGGCGGUUCAACACAGUUAUCAUGGAUCCAUUUAACCACAGUUGCCACAGCAAAUAGGAUGACUACCCCAAUUCCUACAUCCAAGUCAUUUAUAAAGACUUUGAACAACAAUGGGCCCAGGCAAGAACCCUGCAGUACCCAAUUUCUCAUUAUUUUCCCGGGUAAUGAAGAACCACUAAUGAGCACUCUUUGGGUGUGAUCAGUCAACCACCUACAAAUCCACCUAACAAGUAACUCGUCCGGCACACAUUUUAUCAGCUUCUCUGUAAAGAAGAUUGUGGGGAACUUUGUCAAAGCCUUAUUGAAAUCAAGAUACACUAUGUCCCCAACUUUCCCCUGAUCCACCCAGCUUGUAACUCUUUCAAAUACAGAAAUGAGAUCCGUCUGGCAUGACUUGUUUUUGAGAAACCCAUACUUGGUCUUGGUAAUCACAGCAUUCUUUUCUUUGGUGCUCGCAGACUGACUGUUUAAUUAUCUGUUCUAGGAUUUUUGUUUCUUAUCGGUGUCAAGCUCACUGGUAGGUAGUUACCCAGGUCUUCUCUCUCCCCCCCCCCUUUUGAAGAUGGGGACAACAUUUGCCCACCUCCAGUCUACAGGGAACUCACCUGUCCUCAAAAAUUCUCAAAGAUUAUAGACAGAGGCUCUGAGAUUACAUCUGCAAGCUCCUCCAGUACCCUUGGGUACAGUCUGCUGUGUGCUUGCUUUGUUUAGUGGGGGGUAAAAAACACCUUUGGGUGAGGGUAAGUCUAAGGAGAGAAUCAUCAGGGGAGUUCUGUAACCUUUACCUCUUUGGCUAUUUUUUCUGCUCCAUAUUUUUUCUACAUAUGUGGGCUUUCCCAUAACAGGAAAAACAGCUGGGCGGGGAUUGGAGUGGGGGGAAUAGUGGCAGGGAAAGGCUCCUUUCCCUCAGUGCUCCUCUGCGCAAAUUCACCCCUCCCAAUGCUGAUUUUCAUCUUUAAAAACUUCCAGCCCCUGCAAAUGCUUGUGUACUAUACAGUUUGCCCUCUAGAAGAUGCUAUUAGGUCUCUCCAAAAUGUACACAGCUUAAUAAAAGCUGUGCUGAAAUUUCCAUGGACUUUUUUCCUAUGAUGGAAAAGACAAGAUAUUAGUUAUCGGAUUUCUAGCCAGAUUGAAUCUCUGGAGAAGACAGAUCAAAUGCAUUUUCUAUCACCUGAAUAUAAAUACUUUAAAAAGUGAUGGUUCCCCCCCCCCUUUACUAGAUGUUAGAGAUCUGGAAGGGGCAGGGAAGGUCUGAAAGUUGUAGCUGUGAACAUUGGGCUGACCUCCUCUCUUUGCUGCAGGCUCUGCUUCCUGCCUCAGAGCACGAUCUAUUAACAUUGCAGCUCCAGUAGCAGCAGAUGGGUGGUUGGAACCAGCCCCAGAGCUCUUGUAGCUAUCCCCAAAGCUUUCACAGCAAGGGUGGGGAACCUUUCUCAGCCUGAGGGCUGACUGCAGAUCCACUGACAAGAAGUAUUAUUUUGAGGAAAUAUGGAUACCAGCAUCCUUGUGCUCUGCCAGCCCACCUGUCCUUCCUUCUUUGGUUUACACAUCAUUAAAAAGACCCCUGCAAAGCCAUGUCAGAUUUGGACCAUUCUUCCUAUUCGCUUGCCACUCAGGUAUGCAAUUUGUGCUUCCAAUACGACUUUCAAAAACUGCUAGGCUUCUGGAAUCCCUUGUUCAUAAAGCUGCUUCUUCUUUUUCAUUCUUUCAACGCAGGACUUACUCAGUUUGCCACAAUCCACUUGUCAGAAAAAGAAAAAAAAUUGAAUGUCUCUACUUGGCUGCACUUUCACUUUUCUUUUCAUAAAGGUCUCGAAUUCUAUCAUUUAAUCUUCCCCAUCUCCCAAGGCACCUGAGCACUUCCACCGUUCUUCUUUGUUGGUCAGGAGAACCAAGCCUGAACCAACGAGCUCUCACUGUUUCUUCAGCCUUCUCAAACAAGAGAGUUUUUCCCACCUGUGCCUGGAGCUUUUCCCCCUCUCCCUCCCAUCUCUACCUCUUGAACAGCAUAUUAUAUCUAUAUAUUUUCCACCUUACAACAAAAAUUAGGGCAGGUGACAUCUCCCUUUAUUACCAUUUUGGGAUCUUUUGAUGCUUUUGCUAUCUUCACAGGGAAAGCUUUUUCUACUUCCUCCGAUUGCUCUAUAGAAGACUCCUACAGUGAUAUGUUUUUAUUUAUUUCUCCCUUCAAAUCAGGUAAAUCGCCAGAAUUUGCCAUCGGUCUUAUUGAUUUGAGAUGCUAAAUCAAUCCUCCAGUGUUCCAAAUCAAACAAGAGAUCCCAGAAGGUGGGGCUGCUGCAAGAAGAUACUUGGGCAAUGAGCCUUCCUAGUCCUUCUGAAGCUGCCUGCCAGAUCUACCACAAUAUUUCCAUUCAAAAUCUGGCCUUAUUCCAGUUGCCAAAAUCAUAUAAGACUGGUCCUGAAAGACCUACAUUGGAUCCCAGUACGUUUCCGAGCACAAUUCAAAGUGUUACUGCUGACCUUUAAAGCCCUACAUGGCCUCGGCCCAGUAUACCUGAAGGAGCGUCUCCACCCCCAUAGUUCAGCCUGGACACUGAGGUCCAGCGCCAAGGGCCUUCUGGCAGUUCCCUCAUUGCAAGAAGUGAAGUUACAGGGAACCCAGCAGAGGGCCUUCUCGGUAGUGGCACCCUCCCUGUGGAAUGCCCUCCUAUCAGAUGUCAAAGAAAUAAACAACUACCUGACUUUUAGAAGACAUCUGAAGGCAGCCCUGUUUAAGGAAGUUUUUAAUAUUUGAUGUUUUAUCGUGUUUUUAAUAUUCUGUUGGAAGCCACCUAGAGUGACUGUGGAGGCCCGGCCAGAUGGGUUGGGUGUAAGUAAUAAAUGACGAUGAUGAUGAUGAUGAUGCAUCCAAUCUCAGGCUAAUAGGCACCCUUAGGUAAAGGUAAAGGGACCCCUGACCAUUAGGUCCAGUUGUGGACAACUCUGGGGUUGCGGUGCUCAUCUCACUUUAUUGGCUGAGGGAGCCGGCAUACAGCUUCCGAGUCAUGUGGCCAGCAUGACUAAGCCGCUUCUGGUGAACCAGAGCAGUGCACAGAAAUGCUGUUUACCUUCCCGCCAGAGGAAGCACUUUGAUGUGCUUUUGAACUGCUAGGUUGGCAAGAGCAGGGACUGAGCAAUGGGAGCUCAUCCCAUCACAGGGAUUCGAACUGCCGACCUUCUGAUUGGCAAGCCCUAGGCUCUGUGGUUUAACCCACAGUGCCACCCGCAUCCCAAUAGGCACCCUUAAGGAACAUCAACUCAUGAUUUAAAAAGCUGGCUUUGGAUAGGACUUCUCUAACAGAGGUGUACCAGAACUAGGCAUUUCUAUGUAAAUGCCUGAGUCCUCUAUGGUUCUGUGAUAAGCAAAGGUGCUGUACUGAGUCAGACUAUCAGUCCACUUAGCUCAGUUAGGGUUGCCAUAUGUCCGGAAUACUGCAGUCAGAAACAGCAUCUGGAGGAAAUCAUGGAAAUGUCUGGGGAAAUCUGGACAUAUGGCAACCAAUGUCAGAAGUAAGGAUUUUGGCGAAUUUCCUUAAAAAUAGCUCCAAAACUUCAUUUUAUUUUUUUUUAAAAAGAGGAACAAUUUUGGGCAAAACUGAAAAAAGCUCUCCAGACUUCAGCCUAGGACCUUCUGCAUGUAAGACAGAUGCUCUAUCAGCUCUUCCUUUACAUAGUGGUACAGGUAGAAGUCCACCUGCCUGCAAUGGUUGCUUCUCCUCCAUAACCCAUCAGUUUCCAUGUAAGUAUAUAUAGAGAGAUAGGAGCCCCUCAAACCUGUUCUGGCAACCAACCAGUAUAAAAACAAAGACAAGGGAGCAGAUUCAUUGUGAGAACAUCCAGGGAGUUAUUUUAAAAAUACUGCACCAGCUCCUUCUUUCCCCCCAAAAGCUGAACUGGCUGAAAACAUACAUGCAUAGAGAUGGGAAAAGACAUUAAAUCUGCUGUAAGAAUAAAAAGAAUUCUCCAUGGUGGAAAAAAGGACCAUUUACAUUUUGGUUGGCUUUUCUAAUAAUAACGUUUCAAUGGAAGGUAUAUUCCUGGCAUUGUUUGCACAUUUCUGUUCCUGCUUGUAUUUUUCUCAGGCUAUCUGAAAUUUAAGGAGUGGAGAGAAAGGAAAGCGAGGGGAAGAAAUAAAUAAAAUAAAGAACCAUAUUCUGCCUAUCCGAAAGAAAUGCAACGCAAUCUGAUUUCACCUCUUUCUCUCUGGGCUGAAUGUGUUCAUUUUUUGCUUACAAAGGAAAGACACAAAAGAACGGCAAGAAAAGGAUUCAGAUGGUGCUGCCUGAUACACUUUUGCAGGGAAAAUGUGAAAACAAAACCCGGCUGCUGUUGACAGUCUUUCGGUCUGAAAAGUAACUUAUUCAUUUGAAAAUAAGAGGGGGGGGGGAUAAAAAAUAUGCUCAUAAGAAAAAAUAUGAAACAUCGUUUGUUGUAAUUUCACAAAGCAGAACGAGAGCUGCUGAAGAACCUCAAAACCAGACAGUGCUGAAAAGCUACAGAAAGGGCCGUUCUUGUCAGUGGCAGAGGAAGGGGGUGCGAUAGGGGCAGCCCGCCCCGGGUGUCACCACUGAGGGGGGUGACAAAAUGCCAGGCGGCACUCACCUGCAGCACGCCGGAGCCACACGUCUCUCCUGGGAGACACGCGGCUGCCCAAAUGGUCUGCCCACUGCCUCCCCCUCAGCUGUAGGGUGGCUGGGUGGGAGGAGGCAGGCAGACACCUCGGAGACCGCGCGGAGCAUCCUGUCUUGGCUCGCCCUGCCCCAGACGCCCAAUUGGCUUACUCCGCCACUGACUCUUAUAGAGCUGGGGCCAGCACACAGCUUCAUUGAGCCAUAGUAGGGCCCAUCUGCCUUUGGCUAGGGUAGAGAUGGAGAAACUGUCGCCCUCCAGAGGGUGCUGGGCUCUGCUGUCACCAUCCCUGGCCAUUGGUCAUGCUGGCUGGGGCUGAUGCUAAUUGAUGUGCAACAUCUCCAGGUCUUGAGUUCAGACCCUCACCGAUGUGCCCCGCCUCAAAUUUGCUUCACAGCAGUGGUGGGCCCUUGACAAGCCAUUCUGACAAUCUCAGAGUGGCCCAUGCUAUACUGGAGCAUUGUGGGAAUGUCAAAGCAAGGGGCAGCUUGUGGGAGCCUCCUGCAGAUUGUGGUAAUGCUGCUGCCAUUUGUUGCUGCGGAUAAGCCCACUGGAGGAUAUACUUUGCUGUGAGCUGCCUCAAGCUUGUCACCAGCCUUAGGUUUUAGACAACAUCUUGUUGCAGCCUAGUUUGAUACAUGCUUACUUUGAAGUAGGGAUGGGCUAGGGCUAGAGGUUAGGGGUUAGGGGAAUAGAGGAGGCCUUUCAGAAGCCAUAUAAUGCUGAGGUAUCCCCAUCGGUCUCUACAACCCAAUAUUGCAUACACUGACGGACAGGAGCUCUCCAAGGUUGUAGGCAAGGGACAUUCACAGCACAACCUGAAGAUACUGAGGAGUGAACCUGGGAGCUUUCGUUUACAAGGCAGAUGUUCUGUCCCUGAGCCAUAGCCACAUAUGUUCAGUGUUAAGUCUCAUAGAAUCAUAGAAUCAUAGAAUCAUAGAGUUGGAAGAGACCACAAGGGCCAUCGAGUCCAACCCCCUGCCAAGCAGGAAACACCAUCAGAGCACUCCUGACAUAUGGUUGUCAAGCCUCUGCUUAAAGAACUCCAAAGAAGGAGACUCCACCACACUCCUUGGCAGCAAAUUCCACUGUCGAACAGCUCUUACUGUCAGGAAGUUCUUCCUAAUGUUUAGGUGGAAUCUUCUUUCUUGUAGUUUGGAUCCAUUGCUCCGUGUCCGCUUCUCUGGAGCAGCAGAAAACAACCUUUCUCCCUCCUCUAUGUGACAUCCUUUUAUAUAUUUGAACAUGGCUAUCAUAUCACCCCUUAACCUCCUCUUCUCCAGGCUAAACAUGCCCAGCUCUCUUAGCCGUUCCUCAUAAGGCAUCGUUUCCAGGCCUUUGACCAUUUUGGUUGCCCUCCUCUGGACACGUUCCAGUUUGUCAAUGUCCUUCUUGAACUGUGGUGCCCAGAACUGGACACAGUACUCCAGGUGAGGUCUGACCAGAGCAGAAUACAGUGGCACUAUUACUUCCCUUGAUCUAGAUGCUAUACUCCUAUUGAUGCAGCCCAGAAUUGCAUUGGCUUUUUUAUUUUAUUUUUUUGAAAGCAAUUUAUUGGGUUUUACAAUAAGAAUAAACAUAAUAAACAAAAUAACACUUGUCUUAACAUAGUUUCACAUUUUCUUUGGACUUCCUCACAUCUCCCGCUCCCACUUUCAUCGUUAUAACAUUUUGUCAGCAAUUUAUCAUCUUAUUUGAAUUCUUAUAUCCCUUCAAUAUUUCAUAGUCUUAUAAUUCUCAAAAAGAGUUAAACUUUCACAGUCUUACUUGUUUUCUUAAAAACUUCUAAGUUAAGUGGUGCUCAGUUAUUUUAAUCUAGCAUCUUAUUUAGCAUUCACUCAAAUCACAAUAUUUUUGUAGAUAGUUCUUAAAUUUCUUCCAAUCCUCCUCCAUCCUCUCUUCUCCCAGGUCACGAAUUCUGCCGGUCAUUUCAGCCAGUUCCAUGUAGUCUAUCAGUUGCAUCUGCCAUUCUUCCAGUGUGGGUAGAUCUUGAGUUUUCCAAUGUUUUGCGAGAAGUAUCCUUGCUGCUGUUGUUGCAUACAUAAAAAAUGUCUGGUCCUUCUUUGCCACCCCUUGGCCGACAAUACCCAAAAGGAAAGCCUCUGGUUUCUUAGUGAAGGUAUAUUUAAAUACCUUUUUCAAUUCAUUAUAAAUCAUUUCCCAGAACGCCUUCACUUUAGGGCAAGUCCACCAGAGGUGGAAGAACGUUCCCUCACACUCUUUACAUUUCCAACACUUAUUAUCAGACAGGUGGUAAAUUUUUGCAAGUUUGACUGGGGUCAUAUACCAUCUAUAAAUCAUUUUCAUUACAUUUUCUUUCAAAGCGUUACAUGCAGUGAAUUUCAAUCCAUUACUCCACAACCUUACCCAGUCCUCAAACAUAAUAUUAUACCCAAUGUCCUGUGCCCACCUUAUCAUAGCCGAUUUAACCGUUUCAUCUUGUGUAUUCCAUUCCAACAGCAAGUUAUACAUCCUUGAAAGUACCUUAAUCUUUGGUUCUAACAAUUCUGUUUCUAGUUUCGAUUUCUCCACCUGGAACCCUAAUUUCUUAUCAUUUUUAAAAACUUCUUUAAUCUGAGCGUAGUGUAACCAAUCUCGCACUUUGUCUUUCAUUUUCUCCAAACUCUGCAAUUUCCAAUUGUCUCCAUCCUUUUCUAGUAUUUCCCAAUAUUUUGGCCAUCUAGCCUCCAUAUUGGGUCUUUUUCGGGCCUUAGCUUCCAGAGGUGAAAGCCACCUUGGUGUUUUAUUUUCCAGCAAGUCUUUAUAUUUUAUCCAGACAUUAAACAAUGAUUUUCUGACAAUAUGGUUCUUAAAGGCCUUAUUUGCUUUAACCUUGUCAUACCAUAAAUAUGCAUGCCAUCCAAAGGCAUUGUUAAACCCUUCCAGAUCCAACACAUCAGUGUCCUCAAGAAGUAGCCAGUCUUUUAGCCAGCAGAACGCUGCGGCUUCAUAAUACAACUUUAAGUCUGGCAGGGCAAAGCCCCCUCUUUGUUUUGCAUCAGUUAAUAUCUUAAACUUAAUUCUGGGCUUUUUGCCCUGCCAGACAAACUUAGAAAUGUCUCUCUGCCACUUCUGAAAGCACUCCGUUUUGUCCAAAACCUGAAGUGUUUGAAAUAAAAACAACAUCCUUGGCAAUACAUUCAUCUUAAUAGCAGCAAUUCGGCCUAACAAAGAAAGUUUCAGUUUUGACCAACUAUCUAAGUCUCUCUUAAUUUCUGACCAGCAUUUUUCAUAGUUAUCCUUAAAUAGACUUAGAUUUUUUACUGUUAUGUUUACCCCUAGGUAUUUUACUUUUAACCACAUUAAGUUCCGUCUCAUUCUGAAACCGUUCUGACUCUGUAUCUGUCAAAUUUUUCCCCAAAACCUUAGUUUUCUGUUUAUUUAAUUUAAAUCCAGCCACCCGACCAAAGUCAUUUAUCAGUUGUAAUACUCUUUUCGUACUGGGCUCUGGCUUCUGCAGGGUCAAAACCAGGUCAUCUGCAAAAGCUUUUAAUUUAUAUUGUUUCUGACCGACCUGAAUUCCUUCCACCAACCGAUCCCCUCUAAUCAUGUUCAAUAGCACUUCCAGAACCGAGAUAAAUAACAAAGGGGAAUAGGGCAACCUUGUCGUGUCCCUUUUUCAAUUUUGAACUCUUCUGUAACCACAUUAUUAACUAUCAAUUUAGCUUUCUGUUCUGAAUAUAUCGCCUCAAUCCCAUUCUCAAAACCCCGUCCCACUCCCAUCUCUUUUAAAUUUCCCUUCAUAAAUUUCCAGGAGAUAUUGUCAAAGGCCUUCUCCGCAUCUAUAAAAAUUAAAACUGCUUUUGUAUUUAUAUCUGUUUGCAAAAGUUCCAAAAUGUCAAUGAUGUUCCUUGUAUUAGCAAACAGAUGUCUACCUGGGAGAAAGCCGGCCUGGUCCUUAUGGAUUACUUCAUUUAAAACUUUUUUAAAUCUACUUGCCAAAAUGUCUGCAAAUAUUUUGUAAUCCACAUUUAAAAGGGAGAUGGGACGGUAGUUCUUAAGUUGUGUCUUUUCAGCUUCCGACUUUGGUAUUAAUGUGAUGAACGCUUCCUUCCACGACUCCGGUGCCCUCUUCCCCUCCAUAAUUUCAUUGCUGACCUCCAUCAAAGGUUGUAUCAAAUAGUCUUUUAAUGUCUUAUAGUACUUGGAGGUCAGCCCAUCUGGCCCUGGAGAUUUGCCGAGUUGCAUGUUCUG